rnacentral:lncRNA from 1 species
UGAAUAUGGUGAUGCCGAACGGAGCUCGUCGUUGUCGAUGAUGACGUUGUAGUGAUAUAUAGUAUGAAGUACACGGUGUUCUACAAGGUGGUAAAGAUCGUCGAAGAGACAAGGUUAUUGGUGUUCGUAUAGAGUAAGCGACAAUCAUGUUGUGUAGAAGUUUGAGGGUGUGAUGGUUAGGGGUGAGCAGGUUGGAAGUUGAGGUGUUAAGGUUAUGGCAGAUCGAGUUUGUUGUUGUUUGAGAAGUUAUUUAUGGAAGUUUGGAAGUCCAAGGACGGUUGUGGUUGGAUUGAUGUGCGGUUAUAGUGUGUUGGUUCAUUUGUGUUAUGAAGGGAGAUAAAUGGUUGUUUGUGAUGAUUGUCAUGGUAUAAUGGUGUUAAUAAGUAUGUUUAGUAGAGGGUGGAAAAGUGUUAUUCACAUGGUGAUGAUUUGUGAUUUUCCAGAGUAAGGACGGUGAAUCACGGAUGGAGAAGAUGCAUAGUGUUUGCAAGGUUGAUGGAGGUAUAUGUUAAGGAAGAAGGUGAGGUGCAUGGAAUAGUUGGUUUGUGUGGUUAGAAGUGUGAGAGACCAUGAACAAUAUGUGCUUCAAGAAAAUUUGUUGAAUACCAUUGAAUGCGACGCCUGUGUUUGGAUCGGUCGAGGUUUUUGUGUGGUCACUGUAAAUAGAGUUUUAAUGGUGGGGUUUUGUAUGUUGUAGUGUAUAACAAGUGGUUAUUGAAGUUGUAUGAUCAAAAGUGAAGAGGUUAAUGUUGUAAAGGUGGUUUAUGCAGGAAAAAAAUGUGAGGAUGAGGUUCUGUGUGAGUUGUGAUGAAGAUUUGGAGCUAAGGUGGAAAGAAGAGAGGAAAGGGUGAAGAAUACGCGGUUUUCCUAAGCAAUGAAGAACAAGAAAAAUCUCUCGACCCAACAUCAAAUUUUGGUCCCCCCCCCCCCNCCCCCCCCCUGUUAAUGUUGCUUUCUCUCCCACCUACUCAAUAAUUGUCAACAACUAUAAGGGCUGUUUUGAAAUUUUGAGGAAAAAAUGGCCAAUGAGAAGCAACCAUGUCAUAUGUGAGAGAGGAUAAUUCAAAAUUUUCAAGAUUCCCCAAAAUCUAGGGCUAGCUGGCAGAAGACAAUGGAGAGAUAUUUUUAUAUUUCCUUUAUUUAUUAUUAUUUUGAAUUAUAAAAAAUGAAAUUUGAUAAUUAAAUUAAAAAUAAACAGCACAAAAUGAAAUUAAACUAAAAACAUGGUUAAUUCUAAUUAAUCGUCCUGAUUAUUUUGGCAAGAAAACAAAAAUAAAUGGAUAGAAAAUGAACAAAAAAUCAAACGUAAAAGUGCCCUAAAAAUUAAACUGAAUGCACAAAAAUGAUCAGCACAAAAUAUACUUCUAAAAAACAUACAGGUUUUGAUCAGAUUUUGAAGUGAAAAAAUGGUUGGUUAAAAACCUCAGGCGGAUCAAAAUGUGACCGAAAAAGUAGUCGAAAAAAUAAAAUGAGCAUACCAGGUUAAACUACGUGAAACAUAGAUUAAUAAAACUGAUGUCUGCAAGCUCGAUUUUGAAAUUUUACGUCUCCUAAUUUGACACACAUUUGAAAAUUGAUUCAACCAAUUUGUCUAUAGAUCCGAAAAUUUAUUUUGGCUGACAUUCUAGGCAUUAUGUGGCGUGAAAUGUAUGUUAUGAUAUGCAAAGAUGCAAAAGAUAUGAUAUAUGUAUUGAUUCGACGAUUCAGGGUCAAAAUUGGGGUGUGACAGGGUACACCUGUCACUUGGCUAGAAGAACUAGAAACACAUGUAUGAGAUGUGGAUAGUGUUCUCGUAGAGUCUGAAAUCCCUAAGAAAUGUAGACUCCAUAUUGACCCAUCAAAUCACUUUGUGGUUGGACAAAUCUUUCACUCCUUGAUUCUUUGAAGAAGAUUCUUCGAAGGGAGACUUGUUUGAAGAAGGAUUUCCGUAGCGGAAACUCCUUGUUGGAGCCAUGGUCAUGAUAAUGGUGGCAAAAAAGUAGAAACUCACACAAUAAGAGAAAAGAGAAAGAAGAAUAAAUAUGUAAGAGAAAUGAUGAAUGAGUACCUUUAUAUAGCGUGAUUUCUGAGUUUAUUUCUGAGAGAAGAUCCAUAAAAUCAAUGGAGAUUUGGCCCAUAAAAGAUAAAUUUAGAAAAAAAAAAUCAAAAUAAGUUCUCUAAUCAAUUAUAAUUCAAGAUUAAUCGUUUAGAUCUUCUAAAAGAUUGAGAUUUGGCGUGUUCCUUAACUAUGAGCUAAAUUUCUUGAGUUUUGGAAAAGAUUCAUUAUGAUCUCACCUGAAUAUCUGAAGUAGAAAUAAGUUGUAAUUGAUUAUCCCUCAGGUAUAGUCGAUUAUCAAGAUACUUUCACCAUUUCUUUCUUCUUUUGGGCAUGAGGUUGGACUUGAUUGAUUGCUUUUUGGCACCCUUAUACUUCAUAAAUGCACCCUUGGGCUUAGAUAUUUCAAUUUUCCCCAUGCAAUCUUCCUAAAGGCAUAAAUAAUUCGAACCAAAUAGUAUGUUAGCGAUAAAAUAAUAUGUUAUCAUAAAAGACCAUUUUCUAGAUAAUCUUCUCAGAUUUUUCUGAUUUAAUUUCUAUUAAGUGUUUUACCUCCAAAAUCUCAAGAUAUCUUGAGAUAACUCCCCCUCAAGAGGAAAACAAAAAAUCAACUAUCAACAUCCAUCUAUAUGGAUUGGUUGAUACGAGAGUUGGCUAAAACAUCCUCAAGAGUGACACGAUCAACAAAAGAGACCAGGUUUUCACCUUAUGUACCCAAAUCUUUAAGGAUUAUGGUGUCUUAGUCACUUUAAUAGGUCUGGAAGUAUUCCCUCAAUAUAGUCCCCUUUAUCGUAGGUGGCUUAAGACACAUAUGUUCUUCUUCCUUUUGUGAUUCUUCAUAAGAGUCCUCAAAAGUAUUGUGAGGUAUAUUCUUGAAAAUAUCUUUGCAUGAAUAUCUUGAUGUUUCCUCCAUUAAUUCAUCAUUCAUUUCUACCUCUUCUUUACAUGAGACUUGAUAUGAGGGAUCUUUAAAAAUUCUUCUUGAACGUGAUUCUUCAGAAGUUUUAGAUGUUUGUUCUUCGAAUGUUCUUCUUGAUGGGUCUUUUUAUCAUUUCUACUUUCAAAGAUUUUUCUCGUUGGAACUUCUUCAAAUAUUCUACUGAAUGAAGCUUCUUUAAUGUCUCUUCUAGAUGUAGCUUAUUCAUCAAAUCCAUCGGAUGAUGACUCUUUAGGUGAUGGUUCAUCUACUGAGAUUGUUUGUUAGAAGGAAACUACCGGGGUCGAUUCAAAUUACUCUCUUGAUGAAUAUGAUUCUAACAUUCUUGAGUUUACUCAUUUAUCUUUCAAAUGGUGGAUAAAUUCAUUGAAUUUCUUGAUUAUCUCCUCCUUUCUAGAUUCUUCGUGAAACUCAAUAAAGGCAUGACUAUCAUUUGAAUUGAGGAUUGGAUCAGAUCUAUAAUUACAACUCAUAAUUCUUAUAUAGUUGUUGGAUACAAAAAUUCUAAUAUAACCUCCAUGGGUUCCAAUUAUUGAGUAUAAUCUAUGAGAGUGACUCUCAUAUUCAUUUGGCAUUCCAAAUUCAUAGAUUUUGGUGCUUGUUCUCUCUUGCUCGGUCUUUGGAGAAACUCCAUGAAUUAUUUCAAAAGUUUCUCACACUUCCUUGGCGGAAUCACAAUUAAAGACGUAACAAAAUUCCUUAGAGUUUAAAGCACUUAUAAAAAGACGUUUGACUUUAAAACCAAGUUUCACUUUUCUCUUAUCUUCCUUGGUCCAAUGAAAAUCAAGUUUACUUACUACUCUAUAAUUAAAGGAGAAAGUAAGAAUAAACUUACCAUUGAUUAAAACAUCCCACAUUUAAAAAUCAUUUUGCUUAAUAAACAAAUUCAAAUCUCUCCUCGAGCGACAACAUUUGCAAAAGGAUCUAGUCUAAGUGAGGUUACAUACUAACUCUUAUGAAGUAUUCACCUCGGGAGUCUAUACUACUCAACCAUCGUCCUUGUAGCGGGAAAUUCAUGAUCAUCAAGCUAUUGACAAGCUAGAGAUCAAUUAACAAGAGUCGCCACCGCGCUUUUAUUGUUUCCAAGGGAAAAGGGAAAAAGUACGAACAAAACCCAAAUAGUAAAAAAUUCAUGAUCAUCAAGCUAUUGACAAGCUAGAGAUCAAUUAACAAGAGUCGCCACCGCGCUUUUAUUGUUUCCAAGGGAAAAGGGAAAAAGUACGAACAAAACCCAAAUAGUAAGAAGUUUUUAAUUAAAAACUAAUAAAAGUCAGAGAUCACAAGUAAGGGGGUUGGUUACACAGAGGGAAGGUGUUAGCACCCAAAAUGUCCUAGGUACUCCUAGGGAGCCCUUUUUGUGUGCAUAUGUAUUUUGUACGAAGUGAUGUUUACAAACAAAUAGAAUGGAGGGAUGAGAAAAGAAUUCAUUAAUUAUAUUUUUGUGUUUGGCAAGACCUUCGGCCUUGUGCCUACGUACCAACAUAUAAAUGAGGGAUCAAAACCUCGUAGUUCGUGCUAUAAAUUUCAAAAUGAGUGUGUUGGUUUUAACAAAAUUUAAGUUUGAAAGGUACAAAGGCCUAAAAAUGGUUUGAAUGAGUUAGUUCUUUUUGUCUUUUUGAAAGUUUAAGUCAAGUAUAAUUAAGCUUAUUUAUAAAUUUGAUUUAAGAAAAUAAGUUUGAAAAUACAAUGGCAUAAGGCCAAGGUUUCUAUCUUUUUGCAAAAGUGGUCAAAGUUUAGAACAAAAGUAGUUCAGACAAAGAAGGUUUUGAAAAUGGAGUGAGAGAUUUUGAAAUUAAAGAAAUAGGGAGAAGAUGAAGAGACUACCCUAUGCACAAAAAUUUAAAAGUUUAAAGUUGAAAAUAUCUGACCAAAUGGGUAGCAAUCCAAUAGACAAGAAUGUCAAUAGAAACCCAGAGUUUCCUUGGACUUUUAGAAUCAAGCAACACACAAAUGCACAAUUAGAUCAAUCUUGAAGAGCAAAGGCAUCAAAUAAAGAUGGCCUCAUCCAAGCUUAUCCACUUCAUGAUCUUCUUCAAAAUAGCCCAUGUAGCAGAUGAAUUUCACAAGUCACAGGUUCAACAUAAGAGCUUAACAAUGAUGAAUGUUGCAGAUGAACUGGAGACAUCUUGAAUGAUGUAUAAGAUGAAUUUCAAAUUGCAAGCACUUGGUUCUUCAACAAAUUAUCAUUGGCCAAGUCCAUUAGCAAAGGAAUGUUUCCUAAGUUCUAAGUCCAAUUGGGCAAGAUCAAACCAACAGUCCACUCAAAAGUCUUUUAGGGUUUUUGUUGUUAUUAUGUACAUUAAUGGUCAAAGACCACACAAACAAGCAAAGUAUAUACACAAACAAAAUAUAUCAUACAAUAUGGUCCAAGUGGACAAAGUGAAAAUUACAUUAACAUAAAUAAUUAGAAUGAUAUGUAUAAUGGCAAAUGAUAUAAAGUGCUAAAAGUAAAUUGCAUUAAAGUAAAAGCUUGAAAGUAAAAGUUAAUAGUUAGUAAGUUAGUGGUUAGUUUUGUUUUGCUUUUGAUUUCAAGACAUUCUUUGGAGAACACUUAACCCACUUGCCACAAGCAUGAAUCCUUGAACCAAAACAUCUUCCAAAGGAAGGAAAGAAGGCCAAGUUUCCACACAAUACCAUGGAAGAGGGGAGACUUACAAUCUCACUAACUAGAAUGCUUAUGAACCCACUUGCCACAAGCAUGAAUCCUUGAACCAAAACAUCUUCCAAAGGAAGGAAAGAAGGCCAAGUUUCCACACAAUACCAUGGAAGAGGGGAGACUUACAAUCUCACUAACUAGAAUGCUUAUGCCUUUGAUGUCACAAAUUUAGCACUACGUUAAGCAAUCAUAAUUGGACUUAUGUAGAAGUCACAACUAUUUGAGGUCGGACAAUAGACUUUUGGUGUUAAUGCAUGUUGGAGACAUAGUAUUAUGAACUAUGCUCAUUAAACAUACCACACACAAAAAAAUGCAAAAGGUGUGGCUUAAUCUCAUCCAUACUCAUGUUAAUCUUUCAAUCAACUAGCAUUAGGACUUUGAGAUGUCAUUGGCCCAAAUGGAAAUGAAUGGAUGAAGAAGGGGAAUUAGAUGAAGAGGGAAGGGGAUGAAUGAGAUCACAAAUUGGUCAAAGGAGGAGUUUUACCAAAUUAAUAUCAUUAAUUCAUUUUGGGAGAUGGAAUGUACAUUCCAUCAAUCCCCUAAAUCCAAUGAUAUUAACUUGACAAAGUCAAAUCAACCUUGACCAAGACCCAACAACAAACAAUCAAACUCAAUUAAGUCAAUACAAAUGGUCAACACAAUUAAAAUGGCAUUUAAUCAAUUAAAAAUAAUAAAAUAAUGCAUUAAAUUCAAAUAUGUUUUGUCCAAAUCCUAAAAUCUCAUCAAAACACCAAAGAAAUGGCCAUGAGAUUUAUCAGAGGUCAAACAAGGUCAAAUGAACUUGGAGAAAAAAAUUCAUAAUUUUUGGACACUUAAAAAUAUUUUUAAAGAAAAAACAUCACUGAGCACGAAUAUGACCUCCAAUUCCUCCAAUUCCAAAUAUAUUAAGAGAUAUUUGGAAUUGAAAAAUUAGGUUCAUGAUCUGAGUUGCUUAGAUUUGGCCUCAAAGCAACUCAAUCUUCUUGCCUACAUUGGUAGGACUUAAGACAACUCAAGAAUCAAUGGAAUUGAGCAAUAAAUUGAGAGAAUCGAAGAGUUUAAAUUUUUUGCAAAUUACCUUCAAUGGAGGUCCGAACUUGAUAGAUCUCGAUCUGAAUUGUGCUUGGCUUCACUUCACUUGCUUGCAGGAGAGGAAUGGAAAAAUUUAGAAGCAAUGAACUCUUGGAGAAUUGAAUUCCAAAACAGUAGAGAUUCAAGCUCAAAUUCAAAUGAAUUUAUUAGGGUUAUCCUAUGAGAGUGAAGGGUUUUCAAUGGAGAUUCAAAGCUGGCGCAAUGUGUGUGUGAUUUCUGAGCAAAUGCAGCUGUAUAUAUAGCCAAAUCCAUGUGAUAUUUGCACACUCUUUUCAACCUUCCAAAUUUGGCAAAUGAUGAUAGCAUGGUGCAUGGGCGCGCAUAGGCCCAUGAAAUGAUAGCUCGAAGUCCAAAAUGAAUUAUCAGAUGUGUUGAAGCAAGCUUGGAAUGCAAGGCAAUUGUGCAUUGAUGUUUGAAGUUGGAUCCAUGCCAAAUGAUAUCAGUCUGGUUAAGCCAUGCGCAGCAGCCUAUGCAUUUCUCAUCCAAAAUGAAUGAAUUUGAGCUCUUUCGAAAGGUGAAAUCAAGAGGAACAAGUUUGAUGUUGAACACUUUUUCAUUUGGAGCUUGGAACUUGGAGCAAUUUGAGGUGGAAGUUUGGAAAAAUUUGACAUAUAAAUUUUUUUCUAAGUGUCAAGCCAUAUGUCUCAAUAUUCCACCUUGCUUAACUUUUUAUGGGAGCUUCAAAUGAGAAACGUGUCUUUAUCAAAGUUGUAUCUCUCUCAAAGACCUUAAAAAUGGUUACAAAUUUCAUGUAAUUUGGAUUUGAAAUGAUAGAGUUAUGCAUUUUUGAAGUUUGGAAAAAUCACUUGAUCAAUGGUAUAGGUCAAAAGUGACCUAUAAUGUAGCCUCAUAUCACAUGUUCAAAGAGGUUGAAUUAGCUCACACUCCAAACAUAAAAAUUGAAGUAGACACAUUGAAUUUUAUUGUGUAACUUGGAAAUAUUUCAUCUCAUAAAAAUUGAUCAAGUUAUGGCAUUGGGAAGUUGACUUUCAAAUUAGGGUUUAGACAAAAUGACCUAUAAUAUUUCAACAUAGAAAAUGUUUUUCCAAGAAAAACUAGCUCUAGGUCGCAACGUGAAAGUUGUUUAGAAUGACAUUUAGAGUAAGUUGUAUCUUGGAAUCAUUUUCAUAUGGUGAAAAUUGUAGGAGAUAGGGUCUAGGGAGACCCAGUUUUGAUCAGAUGAAUUCAUCUGGCCAACCACCAUCAACCAACUUGCUAAUUUCCAAUUAUCUUGAUUUCUGGCUCAUGGUAGAUCAUAUAUGCAUAAGAAUGAUGAAAUUUGAAGUGUCCCUUGAGAAAAUUAGCUUGUUGGAGAAGUUACUCAAGAUACCUAGUCAAACUAGGGUUUCCAAGGCAAAUCACCCUCAAACUCUUGAAGAAAACUUGAUCAAUAUAAUAUGUAGAUAUCAUUGGGACUCAUAUAUGAUGAUCAUAACCAUUCUUGAAUCAAUUCUUGGUUGUGCUCUUUGUUCAUGAGGGUCUUAAACCCUAGAUGUGAUCUUGAUGAAUCAAUGGGAUCAUGUCCUACCUACAAAAGAGUUAGACAACUACAAAGAUAUAUUUUUGGUAUUUUGGUUAGUGAAAUGAUAAAGUACAAGUAUGAUAUAAUCACAAAGUGCUUGGUGAUCUCUCCCAAAACAAACCCAAUGAAGAGGGGUAAGGAAGAUGCCAAUAUAUGAUCUCAAUGCUAAUGCUUAUGAUGGAAAUGCAUGCGGGAUCUUAGGGUCAAAAUUGGGGUCUUAAACUAUCUUAUGUUUUUCACUCUAGACUCAGGUAUAAAGUCUUUCCCACAUGGUUUGCAAUCACAAUAUCCAAGUGUCGCAACAUAAUGGAACGAAUACAACAAUUAUAUCAAUAUGACAAUAAAGAUAACAAAAACGAUAAAGAAAAGCCACACAAGUAAACAAAAAAAGGCACACAAACGACCUAAUUAGGAUUGACUCACUAAGGGAAACCGUUGUCCCCAGCAAAGUCGCCAUCUGCCGUACCUCGUAAAAAUGAGAACACGACCUAGCGAAGCGCAAUUGCACGCUUGCAAUGAUGGACUGAACAUAGUCGCCACCAAACUUUAUUUAUUCCUAAAAAGGGAAGUGUAAAUAUCGAUAAAACCCAAGAAAUAACGACAAUGAUUAUGAUCGUCGCAACCAAUAUCAGGGUUCAUGAGUCGAUUACCCGAGGGGAAGGUAUUAGCACCCCUCACAUCUGUUGUACUUGUAGCGGUAAAUUCAUGACCAUCAAGCUAUGGAUAAGCUUAACGUCAAUAAAAUCAGAGUCGCCACCGCGCUUUUAUUGUUUCCAAAGGAAAAGGGAAAAGCACGAAAAAAAACCAAAGAUAAGAAGUUUUCAAAUCAAAACUAAUGAAAUGCCAGAGAUUACAGGUAAGGGGGUUGGUUACACAGAGGGAACGUGUUAGCACCCAAAGUGUCCUAGGUACUCCUAGGGAGCCCUUUUUAUGUGUGUAGGUGUUUUUUGUAUAAAAGAUGUUUGAGAAAGACAAAGUGUAGGGAUGGGAAAAGAAUUCAUUAAUUAUAUUUUUGUGUUUGACAAGACCUUCAGACUUGUGCCUAUGUACCAACAUAAAAAUGAGGGAUCAAAACCUCAUAGUUCGUGGUAACAAUUUCAAAAUGAGUGAGUUGCUUUUAAUCAAAAUUUAAGUUAAAAGAGACACAAAGGGCCCACAAGUUUGAACGGGUGUUAGUUCUUUUUGUCUUUUGAAAUUUUAAGUCAAUAUGAUUAGAUUUAUUUACAAGUUUGAUAUAAGAAAAGUGUUUGAAAAUUCAAUGGCAUAACGCCAAAGUUUCUAAUUGAAAUAAGGUCAAAGUUUGAAAUCACAAACAAAGAAGGUUUUUUGAAAAAGGGGGAGAGAUUUUGAAAUUUAAGAAGUGGGAGGAGAUGAAGAGACUAAUCCUAAGCAUAAAAUUAAAAGUUAAGAGUUGAAAAGAUCUGACCAAUGAGAUGCAAUCCAACAGACAAUUUGAAAUUUAAGAAGUGGGAGGAGAUGAAGAGACUAAUCCUAAGCAUAAAAUUAAAAGUUAAGAGUUGAAAAGAUCUGACCAAUGAGAUGCAAUCCAACAGACAAGAAUGUCAUAUAGAAAACCCACUUUCCCUUUGGAAUUUGAAUCAGGAAAUAAUUAGCAAGCAAUUAGCAAUAUCAGACAUCAUGAAGAUCAAGGCAUCAAACAAAGAUAGCCAUAUCCAAGCAAGCAACUCCAUAGCUAGCAGUCUUCUUUGUCUUCUCAUGUAUUAGAUGAAAUACUCCUUGAUUAAUUCAGAAUAAUGCAUCAGACACAAGAUCAAAAUAACAGUUGGCAUCAAGACAAUGUAGCAGAUGAGUUCAAGUAGAUCCCAAUACUUGCAUCAGAUGAAGGCUCAAAUCACAAUAAUUUGGUCUCAAAAUGUUGGCAUUGGCCAAGUCCUUUUACAUAUGGAAUGUUGCCUAAUCCUAAGUCCAAAAGUUCAGAUCAAGCCCAACAGUCCACCAAACAUUUUUUAGAGUUUUUGUUGUUUAUUAGAUAUUUUAACGUCCUAAGACCAUAAACACAAACAAAAUACACAAACAAAUAUAUACAAACACAAUAUAUGGCUCAAAUGAGCAAAGUGAAAAUGGCAUAAACAUAAACAAGUUAAAUGAUAUGUAAAUGGCAAUGAAUGAUAAAUGACUUGGAAUUAAAUUGCAUAAAGUAAAUGACUUGAAAGUAAAGCAAUAUUAAUAAGAGUUAGUCAAAUGUUAGUCAAAGUUAAUUAAAUGUUAGUAGUGUUUUACUUUUCAAUUGAUUAAGUCAUUCUUUGGAGAACACUCAACCAUCUAUUCACAAGCAUGGAUCCUUGAACCAAGACAUCUUCCAAUAGAAGGAAAAAAGGCCAAGUUUCCAUACAAUACCAUGAAAGAUGAGAGACUUACAAUCUCACUUACUAGAAUGCUAUGCCUUUAGGGUCAAAAUUUAACUCUAUGUUAAGUAAUCGUAAUUGGACUUAUGUAGAAGUCACAACUAUCUGAGGUCGGACAAUAAAAAUUUAGGUGCUAAUGCAUGUUAGAGAUUUGGUAUAAUGAACCAAACUCCUAAAACGUACCACACACUAAAAAAAAAGAUCACAAGGGAUGAACCUAUCUCAUCCAUACUUGUAUUGGUUCAUCUGACACACGAUCAUUGAUGAACCAAUUAGCCUUAUGAUAUUGAGAUUUUGUUGGUCAAUGGAAAGGAUGGGAAAGAAUGGGAAUGAAGAUAAAGAGGAAGGGGAAAUGAGAGAAACACAAAUUGGUCAUGGGAGGAAUUUCAUCAAAUUAAAAUCAUUCAUUCAUUUUGGGAGAUGAAAUAUACAUUUCAUCAAUCCCCUAAAUCCAAUGAUUUUAAUCCAAUAAAAGUCAAAUCAACCUUGACUAAGGCCCAAACAAAUAGUCAAACAUCACAAGAUCAUAAAAGUGGCUCAACAUAAUUUUUACACAAUUAAUCAAUUAAAAAUCAAAUUAAAAAUGCAUUAAAAUUCAAAUUAAUUUGGUCAAAACCUAAAAUCUCUUCAAAACACCAAAUAAAUGGCCAAUAUAUUUAUCCUAGGUCAAACAAAGUCAAAGGACCUUAGACAAAACAUUUCAUGAUUUUUGAAAAGUCAGAAGUAUUUUUAAAUAAUUAAAAAUUGCACAAAAACAUUUAAUUCAUGAAAAAUAUCAAAAGUAAUCCAAAAAAUAAUUUUAAUUCAGAAAAUGAAAGAAAAAAUAUUUAAAGAUUUUUGGUGAAAGUCCCAUAUUUUUUGGAUUAAAAAGAAAAUUAAUAUGAAUUAAACAAGAUAAAGCAAUCAAAUGAAAAAUCAGAAAAUACAAAAAAACAAGGGCCAUCAGAUCUCCCUCAUUAAUUGAGGUGUCAGAUCUGAAGGCCAAGCACGCGCUAUCCAUGGUGGACUCAAGUCAAAGCGCCACACGCAUGGUAAUCAAAACCAAUGGCCAAGAUUAGAACGCUGGACCAAGAUCAUAUGGUUGGAACCUUGCCAACACACCACCGAAGCCCUAGCUCCGGUCAUCUUCUCCAGUGAGGACCACCAGACUGGUCCAACCAAAAUUCAUGAAAAAUGAAAAAUGAAAAAUGAGUACACUAAUUUAAAGAGAAAAUGCUCAGGAGCACGAAUCUGACCUUCAUUUCUUCCAAUUCCAAGUAUAUUGAAAGAUAUAUGGAUUUGAAAUUUGAGGUUCAUGAUCUGAGUUGCUUCAAUUUGACCUCAAAUUAACUCAAUCUUGUUGCCUACAUUGGUAGGACUUCAGCAAACCAAAAAUCACAAAGAAUAGUGGAGAAUUAAGCGAGAAUCGAAGAGAUGAAGUUUCUGAAUUUUCACCUUCGAGUUGCUUCCAAUUUGCUUGAUCUUGAUCUGGAUUUUCUUGAUCCCUCUUCCUAUUUCUUGAAGUGGUUAAUUGAGAUGAAAAGGGAAAUAAAUUCUUGGAGUUUGAAUUUCAAAGCAGAAGGUGAAAUUCAAACUCGAUUUCAAUUGAAAUCUUCAAGAAUUCUAUGAACUUUCCUCUUGGCACGUGCAUUUGUAAGUUGAAUUUGAACUUUCUACAAACAUCAAAGUUGAAGAGCACAUCUUGAAUUUGAUCAUGGAAUUUGAAUAACUUUCAUCUCACAAAAAAUGAGCAAGUUAUGGUCUUGGGAAGUUGACCUCCUAACUAGGGUUCAGACAAAAUGACCUAUAAUAUUUCACCAUAAAAAUGACUUUACAUGCAAAACUAGCUCUAGACUUAAACAUGAAAGUUAUUUGUAAUGUCAUUAUGAGUAACGUUUCUCUUAGAAUCAUUUUCAUAUUACAAAAAUUGUAGGAGAUAGAGUCUAGGGAACCCCAAUUUUGACCGGUUGACUUUCUCUGGUCAACCACCAUGAACCAUCUUGCUAGAUUGACAUUCUCUUGAUUUUUGGGACUCAUGGAGGAUCAUAUAUGUGUAAGAUGAUGUAAUAUGAAGAAUACCUUGAAAUAUUUGAUCAAAUGAUGAACAAACUUGCUGAAGAAGUCACACAAGAUACCCAGAUAAAUUAGGGUUUCCAAGGCCAAUAAGCUUCAAACUCUUGAUGAUUUCUUGAUCAAAAUGAUAUGUGAAGACCAUGGGGAUCCAUAUAUGAUGUCUAGAGUCAAUGUGAGCCAUCUCUUGAUUAGUCUCCUUGCAUUGAGGGUCUCAAACCCUAGAUAUGAGCUUAAUGGAGUGAUCGGCCACCAUUUUCAUUAUGUUUUUGUUGCUUAUCCGACAAGAAACCAAGGAUUUUUAGACACUGUGUACACAUUAUGGUACCUUUACAGUUAAUUUUCAUUCCUGUAAGUUAUUUAAGCAAUUUUAUUAAUUGUCAGUUUUAUUUUAUGUUUUCGCGAUUUUACGCUUCGGUUGUCGUGUUUAUGCCCUUCAGGUCCACGGAGAAUAUCCAAUGGACUCAAUACGAGAAAGUGGAAAGUUAUGGAGUUCGAAAAAAGAAUAUUUCCCAGUUCAGGAGGCCUGACACGGCCACCCGUGUCACCUGACCCGGGCCGUGUCAGGAGGAAGGCCAAGAAAGUACAAGAAAUGCCCAAAACAGUGGCCUGACACGGUCGCCCGUGUUAGCCUGACAUGGCCGUGUCAGGUCACCUAGGGAGUGUCAACUAGGGAAUAACAAGGCAGAGAGCUUACACGGCCGUCCGUGUCAGCCCAAAACGCUAAUUUUCCAGUUUUUGGGCUUUUUUCACCGGGCUUGAGUUGCAGGGACAUUUUGGAGAUUUCCACCUUUUGCCAAGAGAUUUUCGCUAUAUUAGGAGAGUUUAUACAAGAGCAAAGAUCAUCUAGGAACGAGGCGAACACAUAAUUGUCAAGCAAUCAAGUAUUGCAGAGAGCAAGGAAUUCGGAGGGAGGAAGGUUUUCAUGAGCAGAAGCGAUUGAAGAUCGAAGUCAUCCAAUUACUUGUAAUGUGUAUUCUUUAUCUUGAAUUUGUUUUGAAAAAUAUGAGUAGUUAAACCCCCCAAUGCUAGGGGGUGUCCCUGAUUUAGAAUUGUAAUGACUUUGAGUUUACAAUUGCAUUUAUAAUUUUAUUCUUACGGUAACCUUUUGAUAUGUUUAAUGCUUUCUCUUUAGGACCAAUCGAGAUUGUUUUAUUGUUAUCAAUUAGGCUGGGCCGCCAUUGUAAGGUUUUCAUAAGGUUACUCUGCAGUAGAUAUCACCUAGGACUAGGGAUACCAUGUGUGAAUCAGAGCAUUCUUGAUAUAAUAAAGCUUAACUUCACCCCAAUUGCCUAUGGACAUAGAAAUUAGGGUAAAAUGAUUAAGGGUUUUCUCACCAAGGACUUGGGAGAAAAGACCCUUGAGAACUGGUAGUAAUUGAUAUUUGUUGAUGCAAUAGUGACUCAGUGUUGUUAUAGGGAUAAAACAUACACCUUCUCUGGCAUUGUUCCUCAUACCUUGCAAACCCUUAAUUUUAUUAUUAUUUUAUGUUGCCUUUAUUUUUAUAAUUUUGAAUUUAAAAAUCCCAAUUAUAAUGAUGGUCAUACUGAUGAAGUAAAGAAGUUAAGAAUGUUCCCGUUCACUUUAUGUGAAGAGGCGGAAGAGUGGUUCUACUCUCUUCCAGCUGGCAGUAUUACAUCAUGGGAAGAGAUGGAAAUAACUUUCUUAAAUGAGUAUUUUCCCGCAUCAGUAUUUCUGAGAAAAAGAUAUGAAAUCUUGAACUUCAAACAGAAAUAUGGUGAGUCUUUGGGAGAUACCUACAAAGAUUCAAAAGGGUCCUGGUAGCAUGCCCAACUCAUAAUAUGGAUCAAACUGAACAAAUGCAAAUGUUUGUCAAUGGGCUGAAAAUAAAGACAAAACAGUUAAUUGAUACAGCAGCCAGUGGCUCAACAAAUUUCUCAACAGUCGUCGGUAUUAAAAGGAUCAUUGAAGCGAUAACCGCAAAUGAGCAUCUGGAAUUAUAUGAUAGGUGUACAAGCAAACCUGAAAGAGUCAUUGACCUGAAAGUAGAAGCAAAUAAAAUCCAUUUGGAAGAUACAGUCGCUGCUGAAGUAGAGAAGAAAUUGAAAGCAAUGAAUAUAGGUACUCAACAGGUAGCUCAAAUUCAACCUGCUCAGACCAUCACGUGUGAAAUCUAUAAUGAACCUCACCAUACUGUGUAUUUCUUUGCAACUCCUCAACAAAUUGAAGAGAUAAAGUUCUUAAAGCAAAAUAAUCCCUACUCCAACACUUACAAUCCAGGUUGGAAAAAUCAUCCAAACUUCUCAUGGAAUGAUCAGAGAGGGAAUGUUCCACAACAAGGUCAAGGUCAAUAUCAGACUCAAUAUCAACAACAACAAGCUCCAAAGAAAGCAUAUUGGGAGAUUGCCAUUGAAAAUAUGACUGCUCAAUGUCUGCAAUUCCAAGAAGAGACUAGAAACAAUUAUAAAAACAACACUGCGUCUAUAAAGAAUCUUGAAGUUCAGCUGGGUCAGAUAGCACAACAACUAGCAAAUUCUCGAACACCAGGUUCCUUACCAAGUGAAACAGUUCAAAAUCCAAGAAAUCAGGAGAAUAUUAGUAUUGUCACGACGAAAAAGAAAAAGACCGCUAAAAAGGAAAAAGUUAUACCACAUGGCAAGCCAACUGAAGAGGAAAUUAAAAAGGAGACUAAACCGGUGAUUAAGUUCCCCUAUCCUCAGAGAGUGACAAAGAAGGAACCAAGCGAGUCAGACUUUGAGAAAUUCAUGACAAUGUUUAAAAAGGUAGAUGGUCAUAUGUCUUUCUUUGAAGCACUCGAGAGAAUGCCCAUGUACAAGAAAUUCAUGAAAGAGGUAAUGGCCGAAUAGAAACCAACAGCAGAAGAACUGGUAGCCUGGAAGGAAAAGUAUAGUGCAAAUUCACUAGAGCAGAAAAUUCCAAACAAACAGAAGGAUCCUGGAACGGUAACAAUACCAUGCACAAUUAAAGGAAGAACCUUCAAAAGGGCACUAAUAGAUUCUGGAGCUAGUGUGAGUUUGAUCCAAUUAUAAAUCUAUCACAGGUUGGGUAUUAAAAAUGUCAGUGAUACAAAGACAAAUCUGAAGUUUGUGGAUCACUCGAGAAAGGAUGCAUAUGGUAUAGCAGAAGACGUACUGGUGACAAUAGAGGACUUGAGUUUUCCGGUUGAUUUUGUAAUCCUAUACAUACCUGAAGAUGAUGAUGUUGGUGUAAGCCCUAGAGGCCAAUACUUUUGGUACUUGUAUCGAAUUAUUUAUUAAUAACAAAAGGCUUUUUCUUUAUUAUGUUUGUUUAAUAAAGUCCCUAGAAUAUCUAGUCCGUUUAAUGUAUCAAGUGUGACUUGAUCAUGAGAUCACAUUAAACAUAAGGACACUAUUCUUAAAGUAUCUGUAGUUGAGCUUUAUUGUGAAGUGGGAUAACAUUAAAGCAUAAAGACUAUUAUGUAUAUAGACUGAUGAUCACAUCUCAUGGGUCAUGGAUAAGGAGUUAUCAAGUCUUAAACAUAGGUAUGAAUAUUAAGAGUAAUAUUUAUACUGGAUUGACCCGCUAUGAGAAUACAGAUGAUCACAUCUCAUGGGUCAUGGAUAAGGAGUUAUCAAGUCUUAAACAUAGGUAUGAAUAUUAAGAGUAAUAUUUAUACUGGAUUGACCCGCUAUGAGAAUACUAUAUAGAAUGUUAUGCAACGUGUCAUAAGUUAUUCUCAUGGUGUAUACCACCCUUCGACCUGAAACCACUAUGGAUCCUAGAUGUAGAGUCGAGUGCUUUAUUGUUGAUCAAACGUUGUCCGUAAUUGGAUAACCAUAAAGACAGUUGAUGGGUACUCCGCGAAGCAUGCUGAGGGACAUGAGUGACCUAGAUGGAAUUUGCCCAUCCUACAUAACAGGAUAAAUGUCUAUGGGCCCAAUAUUGAACUGGACAAGGAUGACACGGUCUAUUCCUUGUGUUCAAUAUAGACAUAAGGGCAAAAGGGUAAUUUUACACAUAAGUAUUAUCACAGAAGGAUUUGUCAGAUCACAUGACAUUUUCGUGUCUUGGGUAGAAGUGAUGUGUUGUUAGAUACCGCUCACUGUUUAUUAUGUUAAAUACGUGAUUUAAUAUAAUUGCCAAUGCCGCGAAAACCUACAGGGUCACACACAAAGGACGGAUUGAUGAGAGAUAGAGUAACUAUGGAACACCGUAAGGUACGGUGCACUUAAGUGAAUUGUAGAACAUCGUAAGGUACGGUGUACUUAAGUAGAAUACGAAAUAUGGUAAGGUACCACGCGCUUAAGGAAUUUGGCAUAUUAUAAGAUAUGGGCCAAAUACACUUAAGUGGGCUUUUUAGCUUGAAGCCCAUACAAGUGGUUCUAUAAAUAGAACCCUUGUGCAAAAGCAUUCAUUGCGGUUGAAAUUUCGUUUCUCUUCUCUCUCUCUCUCUCACACACACACACCAAACAAAACCACACACACACACACACACACACACACACUCAAAGCCUUCAUUCAUAGCAGCUAGCACUGAGAUUGAAGGAAUCCGUUCGUGUGGACUGAGUAGAGACGUUGUCAUCGUUCAACGUUCGUGAUCGCUCCAUAGAUCUGCAUCAAAGGUUUCAAUCGUCACAAGAGAUCUGCAUCAAAGGUUUCAAUCGUCACAAGAGGUAACCUUUCUAUCACUGAUCAUGCCCAUUCGUAAGGAUCACUAAAGGAGAAAAUUUUAAUUACCGAUGCGUUUUGGAUUGCCAAUCUCCUUCAGAUAAGGCACCCAUCAUUCUGGGUCGACCUUUCAUGCAGACAAGUCGAUGCAAUCUCGACAUGGACCAGGGCACGUUAACCUUGAAAGCUCACGACAAAGAGAUAACAUUGAAUGCUAUUGAAGACUAGGAGCUAGAGGAAGAUACAAAAUCUCACUAUCAAGUAGGCUUAAUCAGGACAAAGGCGAGAAGGCAAUGUAGCAUGCCAACAUCAGAGAAAGAUACAGGAAGGCCCUUUCGACUCUCACCACUGCCAUUAGCCACAUUGAAUGGAAAGACUCCCAUCUCCAUUCCAAAAACCAAGAGAAAGAAAAUAAAACGAAAAUAAGGUAAGGAGAUGGAGGUUAAAAAGGACUUGUGGCACAAAGGAAUCCAUACUGAUGAAAGAGAUAACUUUCUAGUCUUAGACAAGAUGUGCAACAAGGUUUGGAGGCAGAAGUAUCCCCCAUAACAAGGGGAAUGAACCGUCGAGCCAUGCGACGUUAAACGAAGUGCUUCGUGGGAGGCAACCCACGCGUUACUAUUUCUAAUUAUUUUUUGUGUUUGGUUGUUAUUUUAGGUUUGCACAGUGCCUUUCAUAAAAGGGAGAAGGUACUCACAUGGAAAAAGUUGGAAAAAUGAGCAGAACAAUAGCCUGACACGGCCAACCAUGUCAGCUGACACGACCCGUGUCAGGAAUACUGAAGGCUACGCCCAACCAAGAGAAGAGACAGUGGCCUGACACGGCCGCCCAUGUCAGAUAACACGACCCAUGUCAGGCCUGUAGAUUCGAAAUUUGUUUGGAAAUUUUGAAUUUCGUGUGGGCAUGUUGCACUUUCCGCCCUAGCCCCCCUCAGUGGGGCACUGUGAGUCAUCCUCCUUCUAUCAUGUUCUAAAACAUUGAGGUCAAUGUUUAGUUCAAGUGUGGGGGAGGUUUUCCUAUGCUUUUUGCCUUUAUUUUUGUUUUGUUUUAUGUUUUAUUUGAUUAGUUCCCAAUUUUUACCAUUCACAUUUGGUUUAUUUUUACUGUCGGGUAUCAUGUGUUGCAUGUAUUUCAGGUUCUUGAUAUUAUAGUUGAAUGGGUUAAUGAUCAAUAGCGGUAGUGGAUGAAAUGAUCACCCCACUUACUAUUUCUUGUUAUGAAGGAUCUUCCCAGAAAGUCGAUACUACCGAAGAAAAAAUCACACGCAAUUUCUAAAGCUCAACUAACGUAGGCUCCUUGUGCAUUCCGAGUUGAGUAAGAAGCCGCCCCAUACUCGAAGUACUAUGGAUGCUGUCAAGCUUUACCUAACACGGUGAGUGCAUAAAAGGCCAAACACAUUUGUCAUCAUGAGUGAUAUUCAGGUAUGUCUUUAUCACUUUGACUUUGCGUAGGUUCUAUGGGAGUUUCACUUCAUGUAUACACACACUGAGGCACGUUAUUUGAUUAUAGCCCUGAGUCUUUAUAGCCAUCCCGUUAAUGUUAUACUUUGUUAACCUCAUUUGAGCUUAUACCCUUUGUUUGUGUAACCACAUAAAUGUAACCUGCGACCCAAAACACUUCCUUACCCUGUUCAGAGUCAAUGUGAUGUCAUUAAGCUGUGUUAAAUUCUAAGUUUGGGGUAAACCCCAUAAGUAUCAAAAACCAAGGUGAGUACGAAAAAAAAAAUAAAAAAAAAUAAUAAGAAGAAAAACGACCAUAAAAAAUUUGAGAAAACGAAAUAUAGUUGAUGGUUCAAAAGAAACACUCAACGAAGGAAGAGCACUCAGUUGAAAAAAAAAGAGAAUAUCAAAGAAAAACUGAGCAAUUGAAAAAGAAAAGAAUAAAACACAGUGAAAAGAAUAUUAACAUUGGCUCUGAACCCAAAACCACUUGUUUUCCUUUUUGUUUGUAUUUACCACACCAUAACCCAGGCCACGUUACAACCCGAAAGACCUCAAAAAGUGUGUGUUGUGUGUAGUUGAUAUGAAAGAAGAAACUAUUCAAACUUAUGAGUUGAUAUUGCAUAUUUUGAAUUGGGAGUGAAAACACUUUAACCCCGAGAGACUUGGUGAGAGUGUGAUGUAAGCUGAUAGAUGAAGCGGUACCUCGAUGAGGAAAUGCGGCAGAAAACUCAUUAGGAAAAGCAGGAACUAUAAAAGGGAGAGUGAAGGUGUUGGCGAAAGAUCUCAGUAGUAUCAUGGUAAGAAUACAAAUUUUGGGAAGUGACACUUUGUCGUAUAGGACAUUACUUGAGGACAAGCAAUGAGCUAAGUUUGGAAUUGUGAUCGGUCACCAUUUUCACUAUAUUUUCGUUGCUUAUCCGACAAGAAACCAAGGAUUUUGAGACACUGUCUACGCAUUAUGGUACCUUUAGAGUUAAUUUUCAUUCCCGCAAGUUAUUUAAGCAAUUUUAUUAAUUGUUAGUUUUAUUUUGUGUUUUCGUGAUUUUACGCUUCGGUUGUCAUGUUUAUGCCCUCCAGGUCUACGGAGAAGAUCCAAUGGACUAAAUGGGAGAAAGUGGAAAGUUUUGGCGUUCGAAAAAAGAAUAUUUACCAGUUCAAGAGGACUGACACGACCACCCGUGUCAGGAGGAAGGCGAAGAAAGUACACGAAAUGCCCAAAACAGUGGCCUGACAUGGCCACCCGUGUCAACCUGACACGGCCGUGUCAGGUCACCUGGGGCUUUUCUGCAAGGAAAUAACAUGGUAGAGAGCCGACACGGUCGCCCGUGUUAGCCUGACACAACCGCCCGUGUCAGCCUGACACGACCUCCCGUGUGAACCCAAACCGCUAUUUUUUCAGUUUUCAGGCUUUUUUCACCGGGCUUGAGCUGCAGGGAUGUUUUGGAGAUUUCCACCUUCUGCCAAGGGAUUUUCACGAUAUUAAGAGAGUUUCUACAAGAGAAAAUAUCGUCUUGGAACGAGGCAAACACAAAAUUGUCAAGCAAUCAAGUAUUACAAAGAGCAAGGAAUUCGGAGAGCGGAAGGUUUUCAUGAGCAGAAGCGAUUGAAGAUCCAAGUCAUCCAAUUACUUGUAAUGUGUAGUUUUUAUCUUGAUUUUUUUUGAAUAAUAUGAGUAGCUAAACCCCCCCAAUGCUAGGGGGUGUCCCUGAUUUAGAAUUGUAAUGACUUUGAGUUUAUAAUUGCAUUUAUAAUAUUAUUCUUACGAUAACCUUUUGAUGUGUUUAAUGCUUUCUCUUUCGAACCAAUCGAAAUUGUUUUAUGGUUAUUGAUUAGGCUGGACAGUUAUUGGUAAGGUUUUCAUAAGGUUACUCUGCAGUAGAUAUCACCUAGGACUAGGGAUACCCUGUGUGAAUCAGAGCAUUCUUGAUAUAAUAAAGUUUAACUUCACCCCAAUUGCCUAUGGACAUAGAAAUUAGGAUAGAAUGAUUAAAGGUUUUCUCACCAAGGACUUGGGAGAAAAGACCAUUGAGAACUGGUAGUAAUUGAUAUUUGUUGAUGCAAUAGUGACUCAGUGUUGUUAUAGGGAUAAAUCAUACACCUUCCCUCGCAUUGUUCCUCAUACCUUGCAAACCCUUAAUUUUAUUAUUAUUUUCUAUUGCCUUUAUUUUUAUAAUUUUGAAUUUAAAAAUCCCAAAUCUAAUUUUUGUUGAAUUGAACGAUGAAUUGAACUCAAUAUUAACUUGGAGUCCUUGAGAUCGACAUUUGGGGAAUUUUCCCUUUAUUACUAUAACAGGCAAAAUAGUACACUUGCUAUUUUUCCGCUCAUAGAGCAUAGGUGAGCACACGCACACUACCUACAAAAGAGUUAAACUAUACAUUGACAUAUUUUUGGUAUUUUGGUUAGUAAUAAUGAAAAACAAAGUAUGAUACAAUCAAAUGUGCUUGAUGAUUUCUCCCAAUGCAAGCCCAAUGAAAUGAGGGGUUAGGAGGAUGCCAAGGUGUGAUCCCAAAAACAAUGCACAUGAUGAGAUAACAUGAGGGAUCUUAGGGUCAAAAUUGGGGUCUUACACCUGCCCCUAUUUAAGGACAUUCUAACUGAGGAUGUGAAGGUUAAAAUCUUCGUAUCAACUCAAUAGAAUGGACUUAAAUAACAACAUCUAGGAACAAAUUUUGGUCCCUAAGAGACCUCAUGGUGCAUAUGAUAUGAAAUGUUAAAAACAAUCUCUGUGGGGGAAAUAAAUUGCCACAAAGGAAAAGAAUUUGGAGAGAUUGAAAGUCCACAGGAGUAUAAUGCAUUCCAUAAGGAAAAUCUCACUGGGGAGACAAAGACUCCAGGGAUAAACUAUUGUGCGUAGGCCAGGCUACAACUUGAAAACUGCUAGAGACACGAGGGGGAUUCCAUGAAAAUAAAUCAAUGGAAGGACUCAGUCUAGGGAAGGGAAAAUCUGCAGGAGAAACGGGUAAAUCAGAACAAGUCAAAAUACUCGAACCAAGCCGGGAAUCAACGACUUCAUUGGGGAAAUACAUACUCAAACUCAACUGGGGAAGAAAGAUCUUCAACACAUGAGUACUAGAAGUAUCUCAUCUAUUAUCGGUUACUACGUAGGAAGAUAAUGUACUCUGAUAGAGGGGCAUCCAUUAUCGAUUAGGGUAAACAUAUUAAGGAUGACACGCUGAGAAAUAUGAGGUGUAUCCACUACCAGUUACUAGGUAAGAAUAACCUACUGGGGAAAAUAUCAAAUAGGAUUUAACACUAUCGAUUACUGGGCAGAAGGCCAAAGAGAGAAUAUCCGUCAUCGGUUAAAGUGAACAUAUCAAGGAUGGACUCAGAGGAAGAAUAUUCGUCAUUGGUUAGGAUGAACAUGUCAAGGAUAGACCACCUGGGUAAAUGGGAAGAAUAUCCGUUACCGGUUAGGGUAAACAUAUCGAGGAUAGAUUGCUUGAAAAAAAUAGGAAUUAUAUCUAUUGGUUACUGGAUAGAAUACCAAAAAGAGAAUAUCCGUAACUGGGUAGGAUGAACAUAUGAAGGAUAGACUCAGCAGGGGAAAGCAGGAUUUACAACUACCGGUUACUAGGCAGAAGACCACAAAAAGGAGAAAAUCUGUCAUCAGUUAAGAUGAACAUAUCAAGGAUUAACCCGCUGGGGAAUGAAAUAGGGAUUACAACUACAUUUUUACUGGGUAGAAAACCACAAAGGGAGAAUAUCCAUCACCGGUUAGGAUGAACAUAUCAAGGAUAGACUGCCUGAGGAAACGUGAAAAUGAAUCCGCUGGGAAAAAUAUAGGAAGUAGACCACUUUUACCGGGUAUUGGGUAAAAGUAAAGUACGCACAAAUCGAAAAUAAUAUUACCAGUUACUGGGUAAUAGACUCUCGGGGGACCAAAAGUAUCUAUCUAGGUAAGAGCUAGAAAGAAACAGUCAAACAAAGACUCAACCCGAUGAGGAUGUAACUCAAGGGGAGUGGUUCCAUCCAAAUAAUUAACUGGGGAGGAAACUGAAAUAAUAAUCAUCCACGAGGAAAUAACUCAGUGGGGAAUGAGAAAGGUUAAGCUCUUUCUGCCUAAGGGGUUGACACUCUACAAUUGAAAGAGGACAGAUGCACCAAGCCUGUAUGGGGAAAUAAUGUCACCAUAGUAGGGGAUAAGGAAUCAAAUGCAAUAGCAAAUGCAUAAUGAAAUAUCUGAUGUAUGAAUAUGUAUGUAUAUGUUUGAUGAUUAUGCUGACAAAACUAUCACAAAAGGAUACAAAUGUCACAGAUUUGAAUCAUCGCUACAACACUCGGUUAAUCUCAACAAGAUGGAGACACCAACUGGAGAAACAUGCUAGGGGAUGGAUACAAAUCAUCUGGCUUUGAAUAUCUCAAACUUGGCUGGGAAAAGAGAGAAGAUCUGCCGAGGAUCCAAACUAUUAAUUUGCGAGGAAUUCUAGGUCAACACCAUAUCAAAUGGGAGACAACCUCGAAGGGGGCCAAAUCAAACACUGCUCAAAAUCAACACUACCAGGAAUCAGGAAUGAGCUCCGCCCGGGACUAAAGGAGAUAAAGCUCGGUACGAGAUCUGAGUCAAACUGUUGAAGAUGUGAGCCUACAAUUCAAUGGUGGCGGUGACCCACAAACGCAGCUGGGGAUACCUGACUUACUGUUCGGGAGGAAAAAGUUACCAAACCCACCGCUUGGGGAAAACCAACAAUGCUUCGCACUUUAGGACUUACCUAUUCUCAGAUCAGUGUUGAUAUCACUUACUGAAAUUAAUUUCUUAUUUAAUAGAAUUUAGGAAAAUGAUUUUUACUUAUUAAUUUGUGUCAAAGUUAUCAUCAUAAAAUUCAAUUCUAUUUGGCUGAAGAGUAAAUAAGAGUAAAAACAAAUGGAUAAAAAGCUCAACUUUAUUUAAUAGAAUGGUAGUCUGUAAAUGACAAGACUCCAUAGAUCUUUACAAAAGUUGAAAACGGUAAUUUACAUGGAAAAAGGGCUACGUUGAACACAAUGAUCACUAAUCCUUCUACCAACUUCAAUAUCCCUCGUGCUCUUGGCUUCGAUUGAGAAUGAUGAAUCAGAAUCGAAUGACUUGCUCAAAACUGCUCCAAUGAUUAGGACCAACCAAUAAUCCUUAAAUCUUCUGUGUUUAUGUCUCUAACUUUUUCCUGGAUCGCCCUUUCGGGUUUUCAAUCCACCAAGAAGCUCAUUUUUUCCUAAGUCGCCCUUUCCGGUUUUCAACUUAGCGAGUUGUUCUUUUCUAUUUUAGGAAAAGUAUUUCUUGACUGCAUCGGCGUUCACAGGAUGAGUGAACUCUUCACCAUCCAUAGUUGUAAGAAUCAAAGAACCGCCUGAAAAGGCUCACUUCACAACAUAUGGGCCUUCAUAAUUAGGAGUCCAUUUGCCCGUAGCUGUCGCUACGCGAAAAAUACAAAGUCGCCAUCGGUUUUUAUUUAUUCCAAAGGAAAGGGAAAAUAUCGAGAAAACCCUAAAGAAUGGUCAGCGCAACCACGAACAGGUUCAGAAGUCAGUUAUGCAAGGGGAAUAUAUUAGCACCCCUCACAUCCAUGAUACUCCAUGGGAACCAUCUAGGAUGUUUUUGCUUGAGUGGAUGUUUUUUAAUUUAGUGUGCUCGCCAAAGACUGGGUCCUCGUGCCUACGUAUGUCCACUUGUUGAAGUGAGAAAUUAGAGCCCCAUAGUUCGCGGGUUUAAAAAGUUUGUUUGUUUUGUUGAUUUUAUUACCUUGUAAGGGUUUUCGAUUAUGUCUCACUAAGGCUCAAACAAAAGGUUUGAAUGCGUUGAAUUGUUUUUAUGUUUUGAGAAAGUGUUAUUGAUUUCGGAUUACACUAAAGACUAUUGAUAAAGGUGAAUGAAUACCUUGAACUACCAAGCCAAAUGUCUUGUGUUCAAAGCAUUCAGAACGAGUGUAGGAAAGCUCCAUUCUCAUCCUUUCUUUACCACUUAAGGCUCGUGACAUUCAAUCCUAAUCAUAUCUUAUUGUGUUUUUGAGUUUGAUUUGAAAAAAGACCGUUUGACGUUGGAUCAAGGGUUUGAUUAUUGAUUAUGAAAGAGUGAUCACUCCUAAUGUCUAAGGGAUAACUGUCAAGCAAUAAUAAAGAAAGAAAGUAAAAGUAUACAUCUGUAAGGGGAUGGGGUACAUGUAAAGUACAAGGGAGUGCGGAAAUAAAAGGUCUCAUUGUUAGGUAGCCCAAGAAAAAGCCUUGUGUGUGCAUAGUGUCCUAAACUAGAAAGCACAUAAAAAGAUUACAAGUUCUUGAGACUUGAGUGCUCCUUUCCAUGUUGGGGUUGAAUAUUUAUCCAAUGUCUUUUGCAAGGGUCCUAAUGAGUCUCUAAAUCCAUUGUCCAAUGUCCAGUCCAUGCUUGGGAGUUAUCUUCUUUUUUUUUUGCGUUUUUUUAAGUCUAAUCCAUUUUUAGUCCAUUUUAGAAUGAGAUGAAGAAUGAUGAUACAAUACGAUAAAAAUAAAAAAAAAAACAAAUAAAUUAAAUGACAAAAAUUAAAUGUUAGGAGUUAGCUACAAGAAUUAAAAGAGUUAGAUGUUAGAAUGCGGAAAUAAAAGUUAGAUGCAAAAAUUAAAGAAUUAGAAGUUAGAUGUCAAUGUUAGGAUUAGUCAAAAUCAAAAGAAAAGUUAUAAGAGAAUUAAUAUCAAAACAAAGUGGACUUUAAUGUUUGAUGGGGCCGUCAAUGCCAAAGGAAGUGGAAUUGGUGCUGUCAUUACCACUCUGAAAGGUGCCCACAUGCCUUUCAUCGCUCGUCUGACUUUUGAGUGCACCAAUAAUGAAGCUGAGUAUGAAGCCUAUAUCUUGGGUAUCAAGCAAGCCAUUGAUUUGAGAAUCAAGACUCUGGACAUCUUCGGAGAUUCAACUCUAGUAAUCAAUCAAGUGAAUGGUGAUUGGAAUACUCUCCAGCCUAAUCUGGUCCCCUACAGAGACUACACGAGAAGACUGUUGACUUUCUUCACAACAGUAAAGUUGUAUCAUAUACCUCGUGAUGAGAACCACUCUCCAGCCUAAUCUGGUCCCCUACAGAGACUACACGAGAAGACUGUUGACUUUCUUCACAACAGUAAAGUUGUAUCAUAUACCUCGUGAUGAGAACCAGAUGGCAGAUGCUCUUGCUACUCUAUCCUCUAUGAUCAAGGUGAUUCGGUGGAACUAUGUUCCCAAGAUUGAUGUUAUGCGCCUUGAUAGGGCCGCGUAUGUGUUUGCUGCUGAAUUGGUAGUUGAUGACAAACCCUGGUAUCACGACAUCAAGUGCUUUCUGAAGAAUCAAGAGUACCCUGCAGGGGCAUCCAACAAUGAUAGAAAGACUUUGAGAAGAUUGGCAGGAAGUUUCUUCUUAAACAAAGACGAUGUGUUGUAUAAGAGGAACUUCGACAUGGUUUUGCUCAGAUGCGUGGAUAGACACGAAGCGGACAUGUUAAUGCAGGAAGUUCAUGAAGGCUCCUUCGGUACUCAUGCCGGUGGACAUGCAAUGGCUAAGAAAUUGUUGAGAGCGGGUUAUUACUGGAUGACCAUGGAAUCUGAUUGUGUUUUCAAAUAUGCUCGGAAGGUCAUAAGUGCCAAAUUAUAUGCGGAUAAGGUGCAUUGUUCGCCAAAUCCUCUUGAAUGUGAUGUGCUUCUUGUGGCCGUUUGCUUGUGCAUUGAUAUGAUUGGAAAGAUUGAGCGACUGAUUCCAAUGGGCAUCGCUUCAUCCUUGUUGCCAGCUCGACUAUUCACCAAGUGGUCGAGCAGCGUAUUUACGAAGGUCACCAGACAUGUGGUUGCCCGAUUCAUUAAGAAAGAAAUCAUUUGUCAUUAUGGGAUUCCCGAAAGAAUCAUUACUGAUAAUGGUUCUAAUCUCAAUAACAAAAUGAUGAAGGAGUUGCGCAAGAACUUCAACAUUCAGCAUCACAAUUCUUCCCCUUACCGUCCUAAGAUGAACGACGCUGUUAAGGCAGCAAAUAAGAACAUAAAGAAGAUUGUACAGAAGAUGGUCGUUACGUAUAGAGAUUGGCCUGAGAUGCUACCCUUCGCCUUGCAUGGGUAUCGUACUUCAGUACGUACAUCGACCGGGGCAACCCCUUACUCCCUUGUGUAUGGUAUGGAAGCAGUCCUACCUGUUGAAGUGGAGAUUCCUUCUCGAAGAGUCCUGUUGGAUGUCAAGUUAGACGAAGCUGAAUGGGUUCGGAUAAGGUUCAAUGAGUUAAGUCUUAUCGAAGAGAAGCGAAUGGCAGCCAUUUGUCAUGGGCAGUUGUAUCGAAGUCGGAUGAAGGGAGCCUUUGAUCAGAAAGUGCAUCCUCGAUGCUUCCAAGUCGGAGAUUUGGUGUUGAAAAGGAUCCUACCUCCUCAGACAGAUCACAGGGGCAAGUGGACUCCUAACUAUGAUGGACCGUAUAUUGUCACCAAGGUUUUUGAUGGUGGAGCCUUAAUGCUUGCAACUAUGGAUGGUGAAAACUUCACUUCCCCUGUGAACUCAGACGCAGUUAAAAAAUACUUCGCAUAAAAUAGACCCGCUGGACAAUAAAAAGAAUAGUCCAGGCAAAAAANNNNNNNNNNNNNNNNNNNNNNNNNNNNNNNNNNNNNNNNNNNNNNNNNNNNNNNNNNNNNNNNNNNNNNNNNNNNNNNNNNNNNNNNNNNNNNNNNNNNNNNNNNNNNNNNNNNNNNNNNNNNNNNNNNNNNNNNNNNNNNNNNNNNNNNNNNNNNNNNNNNNNNNNNNNNNNNNNNNNNNNNNNNNNNNNNNNUGGUUGCCCGAUUCAUCAAGAAAGAAAUCAUUUGUCGUUAUGGGAUUCCCGAAAGAAUCAUUAUUGAUAAUGGUUCUAAUCUCAAUAACAAAAUGAUGAAAGAGUUGUGCAAGAACUUCAACAUUCAACAUCACAACUCUUCCCCUUAUCGUCCUAAGAUGAACGGUGAUGUUGAGGCAGCAAAUAAGAACAUAAAGAAGAUUGUGCAGAAGAUGGUUGUUACGUACAGAGAUUGGCAUGAGAUGCUACCCUUCGCCUUGCAUGGGUACCGUACUUCAGUACGUACAUCGACCGGGGAAACCCCUUAUUCCCUUGUGUAUGGUAUGGAAGCAAUCCUACCUGUUGAAGUGGAGAUUCCUUCUCUAAGAGUCAUGUUGGAUGUCAAGUUAGACGAAGCUGAAUGGAUUCAGACAAGGUUCAAUGAGUUGAGUCUUAUCGAAGAGAAGUGAAUGACAGCCAUUUGUCAUGGGCAAUUGUAUCAGAGUCAGAUGAAGAGAGCCUUUGAUCAGAAAGUGCAUCCUCGAUGCUUCCAAGUCGGAGAUUUGGUGUUGAAAAGGAUCCUUCCUCCUCAGACAGAUCACAAGGGCAAGUGGACUCCUAACUAUGAUGAACCGUAUAUUGUCACCAAGGUUUUUGAUGGUGGUGCCUUAAUGCUUGCAACUAUGGAUGGUGAAAACUUCACUUCCCCUGUGAACUCAGACGCAGUAAAAAAAUACUUCGCAUAAAAUAGACCCGAUGGACGAUAAAAAGAAUAGUCCAGUCAAAAAAAUGGGCAUCCCGACGAACCAAGAAAAUGAAAAAGGUUCGGGCAAAAGUUAGGGAUUAAAAAAUGAAAAGAUUGUACACCUGGUAAUUUGAAAACCUGAAAGGGCAACUUAGGCAAAAAUGGGUAUCCCGGUGGAUUGAACACCCCGAAAGGGCGAUCCAGGCAAAAGUUAGGGAUUAAGCGAAUGGCUGCGUUCUGAGUAGUUCUGAAUAUCAUCUCGUGUCGAUAACCGGAAACUUCUGAAGGAUAGGAAACAGUCCAAUCACCUUUUUCGGAAAGCUGAUCAUCUGGAGGAAUCUUUGAAGACGCAGCGAUCAUAGCAGAAGUCUGGAAACCCAAGCUAAGACAAUCCAUCUCAAUACAUUGAGCAUUAGAUUAAUUCUGUUUUUAAUCAUGUUAUUCAACUUCACCCAUGAAUCAUCGUUUCUAGUGCGAGAUCGGCUUUCCAUAGAGCUUACAAUACAUGCCUGGAAUUUCAGAGGCACUCAAUCUAAAUAGACAACCAUGAUUAUUGCCCAAAAAGGCUAGACAAUAUACAAGCCAUUCUCUGUGUUCAUCUUACAUAUUACUGCGAGCUUUUGUUUGCAAAAAUGAACUGAAGUAUCCGAUAGGCAAUCAACAAAAAAUUAUUUGAUAAUAACAUAGAGAAUAGAAAACACUAUAAGAGCUUUACAAGUACGUGCUUAAUAGAACACUGAAACCAAAUAUCUCUAUGCAUAACAGAGACCACGCAAAACUUCAGGAAAUAUGCCAGAUCAGCGCCCCUAUUGAAAACGUGGCGCUAUCUAUUACAAAAGCGUCCCACUCUAAUCAGUAGAGAAUAGCUAUAUCAUCCAAAAUUAGAGGAAGCAUACUAAUUGGAAUAGACAGCGCACUUAAGAGUGCCAUAUUAAUUGUAUAACAAAGCGCACCUUAAUAUAUGGUUAGUAAGACACGAAAAAGAAUAUGAUGAGUGCAAUGGAGGGUACUGCCAAUAGACAGGUAUCCACAUCAUUAUAUUUAGAAACCAGUGUCUCUCUACAAUUCACCAGUGAGUAACCUUAUCAGAGGGAACGCUUACUAGAAAAGAGCAGCAUGCUUCUCCACUGUCGCAUUGUACAAUUUCCAGUUAUAAGGGCGCUUACUUUGUGAAUAAGCUUAAAGAGAAGCUGCUUCAUUUAGGAACGCCUUCACCGUUAAAGGCCCCUUUAGAGGGCGGCUUCAAUUUGUAAAAGCGCCACUCACAUACAACAGUGAGCGGACAAUAUACAAAAUACCUGACAAGAUUGAGAACAUGUUUCUGCGACCGCGAGUACAAACAAUGAGAGGGCGCUUUAUGAAAGCGCCCCGCUCUUACCUACGCCCUCUAGCGCUCCUCAGCCUCCUUAUAGGGCGCUUUUAAAAACAAGCGCGCUCCUCAAUGUCCACGACAUUUCACAGAUUUACCGCCAGAGGUCCGCUUUUGUUCGCCGAAGCUUUAGAGAGCGUUUCAGAGCGCCCUCUUAGGCCCCACUUAAGAGGGCUGCAUUUUUUUACAAAGCGCCCUCUAAGGUCCCCUUUAGUACAGCCAUUAACAAAUUAUAGCAUAUACUUCUGCAUGUCUUAAUCAUAUUCUUCCCUUCUACUAAGACUAUGUCGUUUACCGUAACUGGGUUUUCAUCUCUACCUUCGCGCAUUAUAUCCCUCCUUUCUUUUUUCAAGUUGUUUUUAGCGAUUACUCCGUCCUCCGUUCGUUCUCCCUCCCUCACCCCGUCAUCUGUCGCCGUCGCCUGUUUUCUGCUGCUCGCGUUCACUUGUUCACGUCCCACGCGUCACUGUUCAUUCUUUCUCCAUCGUUACCUCGUCGCGCUCUACCUUGAGGUAUUUCUCUCUCAUCUUGUACCUUGCUUCCUUGUCCUUUCCUGUUGUUUGAUUAGGGCAUUUUUAACAUAGUUUACAUUUUGGCAUCUAUGUUCGAAUAGUAUGUGUUAGCGGAGCAACUGACGUUUCUGAAUUAAUUCUUGAUCUGAACACUGAUCAUUGAUAGUGUUUGAGCUUGUGACCUUUUGUGAAUCGCUUGAUUGAUUAUGGCAUGCAGUUUUGUUCAUGUUCCAAACACCCAUACAUGGCAUUGGUCUUAGCAGGUGCAGUCAGGUUGUUGUGAGUUUGUAUUCAAUAAUGAUAAAUCAAAAAGAGUUUUUGCAUGUAUGUAACAUGAGAGAAUAUGGAAGCUAUAAUGAAUGUUCAGUAUUGAUAUCAUUGUCUUCGUUGGGUCUUAUUGAAUCAUUUGAUCAUUACAAGAUAAAAUGGCUAACCAAGACGAUACCCAUGCCUAUGCGCAUGAUCACGAUAACUAAUGUUGAAAAGUUAAAUCAAACGAGGAUGACUGUUAAUGAAUUCAAUAUCAUGUCGUGCAAGAACCAUAAGGUGUAUAAAUUUGUAGUACAUUGGGAGUUGCUUGAAGACUACUUUAUAUCAGAGUUACCUAACGGUUUCAUAUAGUUUGGCAAGUUACAUUGGGUUUCCUUGUUCGAGAUUCCUCACCUUUACUCGAUUACAUGUGAUAAUUGGAGAGUUCCGGACUGAAGGUUGCAAAGAAAAAAUAUGGUCAGAGAUACAGUACUUCUCACAUAUAUUGGUAUAUUGUUCCUGUUGUUGACUAUUGUGGUUUGCCCUAUUAAUUGUUAAAGGUAUAUACUUUAUAAUAACACACUCAUGGUGUAUGUUUUUAGAGAUCCUUUCACGAUCGAUGAAGCGGCAAAAUUGUAUUCAUUGCGGAAAAGACUCCGGAAUUUUGAUCCUUUUGUCCAACAAAUUCUCAGGAUGAGGAAGGAAAAUUUGUUGAGCCAGAACGGUCCGAAUGAAAUGUAUGACCGAGAUUUAUUGCACCGAUGAAUGGGAAUAAUCUUGUCGCCAACCGUAACGAAUCGCGAAAAAUUCCAUAGUAAUGUCUAUUAUUAGUGGGUAUUCAAUGCAAUUUUCAGUUACUCGUUCUAAUUCUUAAACUUUUUUUUAUCCAGGAAGUAAUGCGACAUAAAUCGGCAAAAGGGCAUCAAAACCCGCGUAUCCAUACAAAAAGGGCGUACGGGCAAUAUGCCACGCGUUACAAAAAGAAUUGUUGAGUAUAUUCAAAAAUGCUUUAGGCUUAUCAUUUGUCAAAUAUCUUUAAUUGAUGAUGCUUAUAAUUAAUUCAAUGUGUAGAGGCCGAGGAGAAAGUGACGCCAACAUCUCUUCUCGGAGCACGUUUAUGGAAGGCUGCUCGGCGCGUUGGGAAGGAGGGCUGCGAUGAGCGGUCCAAACUGGUAUGACGAAUGUGUAGUAUAUGUGUAUUACAUUCUUUCUUUAAUUAUAUCGAAAUUUUGUGAGACUAUAUAUUCGUUUUUUAUCCCUCCUAGAUAAUUAUUUUACGCGAGAUUUAUCAAACCGCCUUCAACGAGGUCCAGAUUGCAGAGCGUGCUUAGUCGAGUACUAAAUGUUUCCUGAGUAAUUCCGGUCGUGUUGAGGGGUAUAGGGUUGUGGUUGUGACUCCGUUCGUAUUUGUUAAAACAACCAAAAACCAAAAAAUCCUACCAACAAGAGGUGAUGGAACCUUUGGGGAGUUAGGCACAGUACUCCAACUGCAAAGCGAGAAUGCAAGGUAUAGAGAGGAAAGGUUGCGCCUCCGAGGCAAAAGAUACUAGUGACGACUGUAUCCAAUUGUCAACCGAAAUUCCGAGUAAUCUAUAUAUGUUUAUGAAUUAAAAUAGCCAUUUUUCUGACACAUUAUACACGUUAACAUACAUUUAAUUAUUGGUUUAGGCAUUUCACCUUGUCGCUGUAUCUAUCGUCACAACUUAUCGCAUGGUUGGAGGAAAAGGAACAAACACUUCGGGUGAAUGACUUCACCAUAUACCCCUCGCGUGGGAUAUAUGAAGUUUCGGUUGACCUUGAUUAGACGACCGCGCUUACUACCAUUGAUGUUUCUGUUCAGAGCGUUGAAUGCGAGAGCAGUCGAUCCUUGUUGGAUGCGCCGUCAGAUCUAAUUUCCCAGAUCGCACGGGUAUAUAUGUUUAAAGAAUUAUGAAUCUUUAGUAUUCAACAUUUCAAUUCAGCUCCAAUUAUGAUAUUAAUCAAUCCUUAUUACAUGUAAUUUGACUCCUACAAGACCCACGCAUAAGUUGGUAAAGGGAUUCAAGAUGCACGAGUCGGUUGCCAAUCUCUUAAAAGAGGUACAAGUAUAGUAUACGACUAUUGGAAUUAUAUAACGCAACGAUUCUGUGCAUCACAAAGUCAUGAUUUAAUUUAUAGGACUAUUUUAGGUUUCCCGCGUCGAAAGUGAAAAAAGCGGUAACGAUAAUUCCUCCAAGCGUCCGGGACAAAAUCUCAAUUAUUGAUGCCGUCUUGAGAAAAUGGUGAAUGAGUCCGAUUAUGACACGGGGCCAUUCGUUAGUAUAGAUUUUUGAUGAAAGGGUGUUUGCGGGCUGCUCUUUCGAAAUAAUUGCAAGGAGGACAUGCAACACUUUUUGACACGACGGACAUUUGGCAUCGCUGAUCAUACUAACUAUGCCGUACUCUCGAUCAAUCUAUAUUUACUUGUUGAACAAUUUAUUACACAUUCAGAGUAGAUAGUUCUAAUGUUAUAUGUUUCUAAUUAAGGUAUAUAGUAUGUAACAUUGCUGCGGCGAACUGAAUUGGUGUAACCGUUUCAAUUUAUUGCUGCUUCCCGUAUCAACGCAACGUUAAAACGAAAAAUCCAACAUCCGUAAAGAAUGAUCCUAGUCAAUAGAUUCCAUGGCGGCCGCGAUAAUACGACACCCAGUUUGUAUUUUUUACCGUUUAAUUCUGGCAAGCGGUUAGAUUUUCUUUCUAAUAUUCAUUCAAUCUAUGUAUAUUCUUUACGCUAGAAAUUUUCAUUCAUUAAAUUUAUUUUAUUUACAGUGGUCACUGGGUGUUGGUGCUAUGGAUCUUUCGAGACUAAUAGUGUAUUAUCUCGAUCGUUAUCGGUGAUUUGGAGUAAAUCCGAUAUGAAGAAGAGUUGACGCGUAAGUGAAAUUCCCCUAAUAUUCGUGUAUUUGUAUAUUAAUUAUGUCUGUCAGAUUGACUCACUAUAGGUUUUUAUUUUGUUAGGGCAAUAAUAAAAUUUAGAUCGAAAAAGAAUUAUCGCAAUAGGAAGGACAUUACCUGGACAGAGUUCAGGUAUAUAUUAAGUAUCUUAUUUUUGCUUAUAAUAGUGUUGUUUUUUUUGCUUAUAAUAGUGUUGGUAAGAAAUUAACUAUAUAUAUAUUGUUUGUUUUUCUGUGUAGUGUCCUCAGCAAAAUAAUUCGGUCGAUUGCCGGAUUUUUUAAUUGAGAUUUAUGAGAGAUAUCAUUGCGUUGAAUCGUAUAGACAUCCAAAAUGGUAUGGAAUAAUAACUUAGGGUUUAUUAAUAUUAUCGGAUAUUCAUCUAAUUUGUUACUAAAACAUGAAUAUGUUUUAUUCUCUUAAUUGUGUAAGUACUUUGAGGAAUACAAAUCUUACUCAAGAGCUCAUUUUUGGAAGAAAUGAGGAUAAUUGUGUCAAUUCAUUGUUGAUCAAAAGAAUCAUAUAGCUAGGUUGUAUAUUGUUGUACAUAUAUGUAUGGAAUGUUGUUUGUUGUAUGCUGUUGUUGUAUAUAUGUGUUAUUGUUGUUGUACUUUAUACUACUCAUAAUAUGUUGUUGUAUAUUGUUGAUCAAAGAAUCAUAUAUUAUGUUGUAAAUGGAGGAUUAUGUUGUAUAUAAAUGGAUUCAUGUUGUAUAUCAAUGCGAUUAAGUGUAUAACAUUGGGAUAAAGGAUGAAAUCAAUAUGAAUUUUACACUUUUGCAGCAUGCGAACAGGUUACCAAUUAAAUAUCCACUGUUUUUCAACAAUUUUUUAAAAUAACUAAACACUUUAGAGGCGCGCUUUCUGUAGGAAGCGCCCUCUAAACAUUUUACAUUGACAACUUUAGAGGCGCGUUUUAUCCAUGAAAGCGCCCUCUAAACACUUUACAUUGACAACUUUAGAGGGCGCUUAACACUGUUAGAGGGCGCUUUAUGUAGGAGCGCCCUCUAAACAUUUUACAUUGACAACUUUUAGAGGGCGCUUUGUCCAGAAAGCGCCCUCUAAACACUUUACAUGACAACUUUAGAGGGCGCUUUUUUCCAGAAAGCGCCCUCUAAAGGUGUCCUUUAUGGACCACUCAGAGGGCGCUUUUUUCUGAAAGCGCACUAUAUAGUGCCCCUAAAGGGCCAUUUAGACAGCGCUUUCUCCAGGAAAACAAAGGUUGUCUUUACCUAUGCCAGCGCCACUUAGAGGGGGCUUAAAAGCGCUAUAUAGGCCAAAAUAGCACCUAUUUUCCUUAUUGGCGUAGUGAUUGCUGUAAAUUUAGUGCUUUGGAUCGUCUAUUCAGAACAGGUACACUCGGGGCAUUUUCUAAGGUCCCCAUCAAAUGAUCGCGGAUGUUUUCCUCAACAGUAGGAAUUUGGUAUCUUAUCCCUACAGAGCUGGUCCGAGCGUUGGAUUCUCAAUCCCAGCAGGCUUCACUGCUGUAUAUCCCCAAGCAUUUGUUUCAGAUUAUACAUUCACCAGCGAAGUUGACAGUGUCCAGACCUGUAUAUCCCAACGGAUGGACAGUGCAGGUAUCUUCCAGCAGAGCGGUUGCUCUUCAGAGUUCAAUGCCAAGAUCGAUGAAUCUCGAUGCUAGACCCAUGGUCUCUUUCUUGAAGCAGAAUCUCGUACCGUAUUGGUGUUUGCUCCCCUGCUGAGUCGUCUCUCUCGCAGAUUAUGGUUGCCAUAACCACUGUCGCUUUCCUCGCAGCAAGUUUUCAGUGUCAUUCUCUCCCUAGUCAGAGGCCUCGGUAUUUUGUUAGUUGCCAGAACACCGUGUGACGGGUUAUAUUCCCCACAGAGUUCUUUGUGUUGUGCAUCUCCAACAGCCUUGCCAGGUCUAGAAGAUGGUGAUCAUUUCCCCAGCAGAAUUCCUUGCCUCAGCUUGGCGUUCUCUCUAAUCAAGCAUUUCGCAUCCUGCAUGUAGAAAUCAUAUUGCAUUGCAUCCUCCCAAAUUGCGUAGCAUUUCCAAUUUUCAUGGAGCAUUACGCCAUUGAAAAAUUCAAACAUACGCAUGUAAAGCAUAAGGCAUUCUCGGUACCCAGUGAUAAAGCCAGAAGUUGUUUCCAGUACUCAGCUGAAGAUUGUCAAUGACUUAUCUUUAUUAUUCCCAGCAGGGGUCGUUGGCCCACGCGCCGCCCUCAAUAUCAUUUUCCCUAUUUCUACCGAUGCUGAUAGGCAUGAAAGUUUCCGGUAUUCAGACCGAAUGGCAUUCAGGCAGUUUCCGAUGUUCAGAUUGAAGAAGUUCUGACUUCAGGUCGAUGCAACUUGUGGCAUUCAGGCCAAGUUUCCCGGUAUUCAGACCGAAGUGGAAUUCAGGACAGUUUUCCGAUGUUCAGAUCGAAGAAGUUUCUUGACAUUCAGGUCGAUGCAACUUGUGGCAUUCAAGCCAGUUUUCCGGUAUUUCAGACCGAAGUGGCACUCAGGCCAGGUUUCCCGGUGUUCAGACCGAUGUUUGAUAAUCUAAUAUCUUCCGAUGUUCAGAUCGAAGAAAGUUUCCGACAUUCAGGUCGAUGCAACUUGGCACCCAGACCAGUUUUCCGGUAUCAGACCGAAGUGGCAUUCAGGCCAUUUCCCGGGUUUCAGACCGAUGUUUGAUAAUCAAGUAUCGUCCGAUGCAGAUCGAAGUCAUUUCCAAUAUUCCAGCUGAUGAACGGCAUUCAGGCCAUGUUAUUUUGUGUUACCAUUUAUUUUGGUAUUCAGGAUAACAUUCCUUGUUUCGGUGUUCAGACCGACUCUACCGUACCAGACGAUUCUUUUUCAAGACCACCUCUUGGCCGAUUCUGACAGGCAUUGUUACUUCAUUUUUUUCACUUUAGUGUAAAUUUUCGGGAUUUUAUCGUAUUCAAUCACUUGAUACCUCGAAAGUGCCAAAGCCAUUGCUAUCUUCCUUCGGGUUUCUAGUUAAUUGAAUAGGGGCAGCUGUAAUACCCCAAAAUUUACCCUUCAUUUUUCCUGGAAGCAUGGAUUAUGUUUUACACUUCAUGAGCAUCAAUACUAGGUCAUACUCAUUGCAUACUGCAUUAGUGAUUGGGAAAUCAGGUUUUGAUUGAUCACUCCUUAACAGAAGGACCACACAAGCAAGAUUGGGAGUUGGACUAUUUUCUAAAAUAUAAACAGUCUCAAAGGUUCUCAGGGGUCCAAGUUCUUAUUAUGCUUCUUCAGUUCAUCAGUGAAGGAUUCAAAGCUAUCAGAGUGUUCAUCUGGAUUUAAAUAGAAAUUAGGGUUUCAUGGCUACCUGAAAACAGGAAAGUUGAAGUAGAGGAGCUCAUCCAUGUCAGAUUAGAUAGGCAUCUUGGCCUAGGAAGAUUCACAAUUAUCUCAGAAAGAUCCAUUGGCAAUCAGUGCAAAUCAGUUCUUGAUCAUUUUGCCCUAAAACUAGGGUUUGGUAUAAAUCAGUUUAUUUCUGAUUCUUUGGGUGAAACUCUUUCAUGGCCCUCCAUAUGUCCAUAAGGGUCUACAUACAAAAAAGCUCUUUAUUUGAGCUAGAAGUGCUUCAAUUGAUCAAUGGAAUCGGGAAUCAAGACAGUUUGGGAAAAGUCAACUGUGGGGCCAGAAAAGUCAACUCCUGACAUUUUGAGAGUGGAAUUUCAAAGUCCAUGCCUAGGGGAUCCUAACAUGUGAAAUUUGAUCAAGGUUGGAUCAUGGAUUCAUCAUUUAAUCAGAAUUGGAAAGUUACUUAAUUUGGAAAGGUUGACUUUCCAUUUAGGGCAAGUUUUCAUGGUCGUUGCACUCACUUAAGCCCAUUUUCAUCAAGAUAAGAGCUCCAUUUGAAAAUUUCUCCAACAUGAACGUUGUUCCUCUUGUUUCAAGCUUUCUAGAUAUAUAAGUUUGCUCAUUUGAUUAGAAUUGAGAAAGUUAUGCUUAGUCAAAGUGAGACAUUUUUAAGGACACUUAGAAAAAUUUCUAAGUCCAAAAUCUUCAAAAUUUGUCAAGACUUUCUUGGCCAGUUUUCUUGCACUUCAAGGAAUUAUUGAAAAUACUUUCUUCACAACAAUUGUCUUACCAUGUCCUGUUUCACAUACUUUUAGAAUAAUCUCAUUUGGAUCCAUGGUUUGAGAGAUACAUUCAUUUAAAAAUGGGCACCAUGACUUGAUUUUCUAGGCAGAUUUUGGGUCUGGCUGGCCCAAUCAGAUUUUCUAGCAUGCUGCACAAACCAGUCAGCGUUUUUUUACCGCUUUGGCCAUGCAUUAGACAUCCAUUCACUUAAGUUUGGCCAAAAAAUAACAACAUUUUACAACCUCACUUCACACUUUAUUCUUAUGGAUAAAAUCACUUAUUAAAAAGCUCAUGAGAACCUGAUCACCCUAUUUUAAAGAAGCUGAAACCCUAACCCUGAAGGAGCAUCGGAAUUUUGUGGCAAGGAGGCAAAGCUUCAUCACAUAUCAGAUCCCAUUUCACUUCUAUCUCCAUUAGGUAAUCAUCUCUUCCAUGCCAUGUUUUGAUAUAUCUACGCUUGCUUACCAUGUUCAUCACCAUUAUGAUAUGAAAUGUACAUAUGGUGAGUAACAGGAUGAAGACACCCUUGAUGAGGGUGUGCGAAAAUUGAAAAAUAAAUGAAUGGCAAUGGAAAUAUCUUGUAUAUAUUUCUUCCAUUGAUUACAACAUUGGCCUUAGUCUACUUGUAGAAUCUGAAUUCGAGACCUUGCUUCGACUGACGGUGAUUGGAUCGGUCCUUGACCAUCUGAUAUCUAGCUUGUAGCGUAAUGGACUCAAGGAUCAUCAGUAUGCCCUUAUCCUAACUUUUGCCUGGAUAUUUUGAUUCUUUUCGUCCAUCUGGAUUCUCCUUAUUGACUAAGCCACCCUUUCAGGUUUUUUUGACUUAGCGAUCCUUAUAUUUUUCCCUAACUUUUGCAUGAACAAUUCAUUUUUUGGUCCACCGGGAUAGCCAUUUUGCCUAGAUCAAUCUUGCGGAGAUUAAUUAGCGGGAUUUUAUCAUUUCUUUUAGGCAUAAUAUUUUUUGACUAUGUCUACAUUCACACUGGCGAGGGCAAGUCUUAACCCAUCCAUUGUUGUGAGGAUUAGGGACCCACCUGAGAAGGCCUCUUAAUGACGAAAAGGUCCCUCAUAGUUGGGAGUCCAUUUGCCUCGCGGGUUCCGAGUGAAUAGCAUAUAUACCUUUUGAGCACGAGUUCUCUGGCGCGUACUCAUGAGGAAGAACCUUCUUCAAAGCUCGUUUGGAGACAUCUUUGGUAUAACUGACCAUGACAGACGGCCGUCAAACGUUUUUCUUCGAUCAGAUUCAGCUGUCAUACCGUGAUUGAACCCAUUCAGCUUCAUCGAGGUCAGCCUCCAUGAUGACUCUGAGUGAAGGAUAUAUCAACUUCAAUCGGUAGGACAACCUCCAUCCCAUACACCAAAGAGUAUGGAGUUGGCCCAGUGGAUGUGCGGACUGAGGUUCUAUAUAACCAUGCAGAGUGAAGGGUAACAUCUCAUGCCAGUCUUUGUAAUUCUUGACCAUUUUUGGAUGACUCUCUUGAUAUUCUUAUUAGUUGCUUCUACGGUGUCGUUCAUCUUGGCGGUAUGGUGAAGAGUUGUGGUGCUUGAUCUUAAAUUCUUCGCACAACUCUUUCAUCAUAUUGUUGUUUGAGGUUACUGGCGUUGUCAGUGAUGAUCUGCUAGGUAUCCUAUAACGGUAAAUUAUCUCUUUCUUGAUAAAUUGGGUACCACUUGUCGAGUGACAUUAGCAUAUGAAGCAGCUUCGACCCAUUUCGUGAAGUAGUAGAUGGCGACUAGGAUGAAUGAUGCCCAUUGGAAGCUUUGGGCUCUAUCAUUCCAAUCAUAAUCGAUGUCCCACAUAGAAAAAGGCCAUGAGAAGUCAGAAAUUCAACGAAGUUGUGUGGUACGAAGAUUUUGGUCACCAUAUAUCUGACAUUUGUGACAUCUUUUAACAGAAGUUAACAUCGACCUCCAUUGUCGUCCAGUAAUAUCCAUCCGAAGGAUCUUCUGCCAUAGCAUGGCCUUUGCAUUACACCCUCCAGCCUUCAUGUAUGGAUUUUAUGAUUGUACUAGCUUCGUGUCUAUCCACGCAUCUGAGCAGUACAGAAUCAUAAUUCUGACUGUAUAGCAAAUCACCGUUUAGGAAAGAUUUGAAGAGAGUCUUCUUAAGCUUCUUAUCGAUAAUGAUAUACUCAUCGAGAUAUUGUCGUUUCUCCAAAAAUAUCUUUAUGUCAUAGAACCAAGGCUUGUCAUCAGGAUCGACCUUCAAUUGCUAGACAAUGUGCUGGUUCAUCUAAGUAGUCAAUAUGGAUGGAUGUGGCUUCAUUCUCAUUUGACUUUGAACGUAGAUUGCCAACGUGGCUAGAGCAUCCUAACUGAUUUUCUCCUAGAAAUAUGGUGAAAUGAGAUUUAUCAAAGUAGGUAGCAGUUUUUUUCUGAUAUGCUCUUUGUAGGGUACAACUUGCUAUCCCGAGUCUCCCAACUCCUUUUACCUGACUGAUUAGCAGAGCUAAAUCACCGUAUACCUCAAGAAUCUUGAUCCUCAAGUCGAUUGCGCCUCUAAACCUAGGUACAUGCUCAUAUUCUGCCAUAUGUGUUGGUGCAGUUCAAAACACAUCUAGCGGUAAAAGAAGGUGGAAAUCAGCUGGAGAAGUGAGAACAACACCAAUGCAUGACCUCGAGCAUUGGAAGCACCUUUGAACAUGAGUGUCAAUCCGAAUCCUGGUUCGGGGCCUACUUCAAAGCCUGGCAUAGUGAAGUCUCUAAUGAGUAUCGGGUCUCACAUUCAAUGAAUUUCUUGCUGAGAUAGUGAUAGCAUGUUCUUUCUUGUCGGUGUCGUCAUGUUGACCCAAACAACAACCCAUAGAUUCAUCAAGCACUGUGAGGUACAUAAUGAGAGGCUACAAGGAACGGUGGUAUCAAGAGUGGUUCUUGCAAGUACUUUUUUAUUUUAUCGAAAUCCGCUUGACAAUCGUCGUUCCAUACAAUUGAUUGAUUCUUUCUCAACAGUUUGAAUAUUGGUUCGCAGGUAGCCGUUAAAUGUUAUAUGAAUUGGAGAUGUAAUUUAAGUCGCCCAGGAAGCCUCAGACUUCUUUUUUCUGUUUGGGGAGUUGACAUUUCUUGAUGGCUCGAACUUUGUCGGGAUCAACCUCAAUACUUUUUUGACUGACUUGAAACCCAAGGGUUUACCGGAUCGGACCCCAAAAAUACAUUUAGCCAGAUUCAGGUACAGCUUAAACUUUCGGAGUCUGACAAACAAUUUCCUCAAGUUCACAAGUGAUCUUCUUCAGGCUCUGGAUUUGGCAAUCAGUCUUCCACAUAACCUCAAUCUCUUCAUGAAUCAUGUCGUGAAGAGGGUUACCAUGGUGGCUAAUAUGUUGCCCUGCAUUCUUUAAGCUGAAUGGCAUGACUUUGUAGCAGUAAGUUCCUCAAGGCGUAUAGUAAGGUUGUCUUCUUUCAAUCUCUAGUGACAUCUUUAUCUGAUUGUACCCGGAGAACCCAUCCAUGGAAAAAGACGGAAAACUGAGUUUGUAUUAUCAACCAAAACAUCAAUAUGAGGCAAAGGGAAUCACCUUCGACAAGCUCUAUGAGGUCUCGAUAGUCUACACACAUUCUGACUUUACCAUCUUUCUUCGGGAACUGGAACGAUAUUAGAAACCACUACGGAGAUAUUCAUAAAUGGCUAAGAAGCCAACGCCAAGCUGUUCUUAACCUCUUCCUUGAUCUUGAGUGCCAUGUUGGAUCUAGUCCUUCUGAGCUUCUGCCUUGACUGGAGGACAUUCAGGCAUGAGUGGCAGGUGAUGUUCAACAUGCUGGUGUCUAAUCCUGGCAUUCUUGAUACAACUAAGCGAAGACAUCAACGUAUUCAAAAAUAACUCUGCCAACUCGGAUGCACAUGCUGGCAAGAGAUGCCCUAACUUUUACUUAUUUUUUUCAGUUUCAGAACCCAAGUUAAUGACCCAUCGGUUCUUUGUAUGGUUGAUCUCUUUUUCUCCGUGCUCAAGGAGUCGUGCUAGUUCAGCUGGUAUUCACAAUCUUCCUCACUGUCGUUCUCAGCUUGGUUGAUUGGAAAUCCAGAUUUACAGUUGAUUUUAGCCAUGUUGUAAUCAAUAGUUUUGUUUUCUGCAUAUGAUAAGCUUAUUUUAGUUAUGCUUUUUUUUGAGAAAAAGUGAAAAAGAAAAAGAAAUCUUUUGCCAUUUCGUUGUUUUUCGUGAAAAAGGAAAAUAACUGAAAGAAAAGGGAACACAUAUACUUUUAAACAUGAGGCCCUUACAAGCUAUCCUCUCGUCUCGGGCGAGGACGGGAGGGAUGAGAAAACAAAAUGCAUUACGUUUUUUCAAGUACACUAUGGAAACACAGUGGUCGUCCAAUGGAAGCUUGAACCCUGUAGACAUCUGCGUAUGAGGCUUGGUGCCCCUGGUUUGCUACCAUUGGACUCUCCAAUAACUGCCACAGUAUGUUCAUUUUGAUAGUCGGUGCUGCUUGAAUUUGACCUGGUUGAGCUGCUUUUACUUUGGGCUUGCCUUACGUGCUGCUGGGUGAUAACCGAUACCAAUCCUGUCACGUUUCUCUACCACAUUGACAACCUUAGCCCAACCGGGAAGCGUCGCUUUACCAACUGUCUGCUUGACACUUUUUGCUGAGGAUAGAAUGGUAGCGCGAUGAUUGGUUAUGAUUGGUGGUAGAGGAACUGACUUCUUCAAACUCUAAACAAUGGAGCGGGAACUUCACCAAUCCCUUCAUCUGUUCAACAUAUCUGAACGGGAGAGUUCACUAACCAACAAAUCUUCUUCAGCAUACAUAAUUACUAGUUUAAUCAUCAAUCAAGUAUUCAGCCUUUGGUUCAGUGUAGAAGUGACUGCCCAACAGCAUGAAUCCAUGGUCUGCCCAACAAACAACUAUAAGUCGGGUUGAUAUCCAUGAAUUGGAAGGUGAUGCCCUGAAUGGUGGGGUCCAACACAGAUGGGAAAAUCGACUUCCCCAAUAACCUGCUUCGGGAACCAUCGAAAGCUCGAACGAUCAGUGCGCUGGUCUCUCGUCUCAAGCCCCUUAAACCGCAAAUUGGCUUAUUAGAUUUUGGCAAUACAUUAAGCGAAGAACCAGUGUCAACGAGGACUCGAGAUAGGAGAGAGUCAGUGCAUGUGACAAAAAUAAUGUAGUGCUUUGUUGUGGGCAUUUCCCUCAGGAGGUAGCUAUACUUCAUUAAAUCCCAGAUACCUACUGGCAGUGAUAUUAGCAACCACGUUGUCAAUUGAUCAACCGUGAUAUCUUGCAUCACAUGAGCGACAUUUGGAACUUUCAGCAAUGCCUUGCGAUGAGCCUCAGAACUUAAUAGCAAGGACAAAAUUGAUAUUUUGGAGGGGGUCUGAUUCAACUGGUCCAACAAUUUUGAAAUCACUUUUCUUGAUCAAUUUGAGGAAUUCCUGACUUUACCUCAAAAGGNGCGCCCUCUAAGGUGUCCCUUUAUGGACCACUCCAGAGGGCGCUUUUUUCUGAAAGCGCACUAUAAUGUGGCCCUUAAAGGGCCACUUUAGACAGCGCUUUCUCCAGGAAAACAAAGCGUUGUCUUUACCUAUGCCAGCGCCACUUUAGAGGGUGCUUAAAAGCGCUAUUAUAGGCCAAAAUAAGCACCCUAUUUUCCCUUAUUUGGCGUAGUGAUUGCUGUAAAUUUUAAGUGCUUUGGAUCGUCUAUUCAGAACAGGUACACUCGGGGCAUUUUCUUAAGGUCCCCAUCAAAUGAUCGCGGAUGUUUUUCCUCAACAGUAGGAAUUUGGUAUCUUAUCCCUACAGAGCUGGUCCGAGCGUUGGAUUCUUCAAUCCCCAGCAGGCUCUCACUGCUGUACUUCCCCAAGCAUUUGUUUCAGAUUAUACAUUCACCAGCGAAGUUGACAGUGUCAGACUGUAUAUCCCCAACGGAGUUGACAGUGCCAGAGUGUAUCUUCCCAGCAGAAGCGGUUGCUCUUCAGAGUUCAAUGCCAGAUCGAUGAUCUCGAUGCUAGACCCAUGGUCUCUUUCCUUGAAGCAGAAUCUCGGUACCGUAUUGGUGUUUGCUUCCCCUGCUGAGUCGUCUCUCUCGCAGAUUAUGGUUGCCAUAACCACUGUCGCUUUCCUCAGCAGCAAGUUUUCAGUGUCAUUCUCUCCCUAGUCAGAGCCUCGGUAUUUUGUUAUUUGCCAGAACACCGUGUGACGGGUUAUUUCCCCACAGAGUUCUUUGUGUUGUGCAUCUCCAACAGCCUUGCCAGGGUCUAGAAGAUGGUGAUCAUUUCCCCAGCAGAAUUCCUUGCCUCAGCUUGGCGUUCUCUCUAAUCAAGCAUUUCGCAUCCGCUGCAUGUAAAAUCAUAUUGCAUUGCAUCCUCCCAAAUUGCGUAGCAUUUCCAAUUUUCAUGGAGCAUUACGCCAUUGAAAAAUUCAAACAUACGCAUGUAAAGCAUAAGGCAUUCUCGGUACCCAAGUGAUAAAGCCAGAAGUUGUUUCCAGUACUCAAGACUGAAGAUUGUUCAUGACUUAUCUUUAUUAUUCCCAGCAGGGGUCGUUGGCCCACGCGCCGCCCUCAAUAUCAUUUUCCCUAUUUCUACCGAUGCUGAUAGGCAUGAAAGUUUCCGGUAUUCAGACCGAAUGCAUUCAGGCCAGUUUCCGAUGUUCAGAUUGAAGAAGUUCUGACAUUAGGUCGAUGCAACUUGUGGCAUUCAGGCCAAGUUUCCCGGUAUUCAGACCGAAGUGGAAUCAGGACAGUUUUCCGAUGUUCAGAUCGAAGAAGUUUCUUCUGACAUUCAGGUCGAUGCAACUUGUGGCAUUCAAGCCAGUUUUCCGGUAUUCAGACCGAAGUGGCACUCAGGCCAGUUUCCCGGUGUCAGACCGAUGUUUGAUAAUCUAAUAUCUUCCGAUGUUCAGAUCGAAGAAGUUUCCGACAUUCAGGUCGAUGCAACUUGUGGCACCCAGACCAGUUUUCCGGUAUUCAGACCGAAGUGGCAUUCAGGCCAGUUUCCCGUGUUCAGACCGAUGUUUGAUAAUCAAGUAUCGUCCGAUGCCAGAUCGAAGUCAUUUCCAAUAUUCAGAUGAUGAACGGCAUUCAGGCCAUGUUAUUUUGUGUUACCAUUUAUUUUGGUAUUCAGGCUAACAUUCCUUGUUUCGGUGUUCAGACCGACUCUCACCGUACCAGACGGAUUCUUUUUCAAGACCACCUCUUGGCCGAUUCUGACAGGCAUUGUUACUUCAUUUUUUCACUUUAGUGUAAAUUUUCGGGAUUUUAUCGUAUUCAAUCACUUGAUACCUCGAAAGUGCCAAAGCCAUUGCUAUCUUCCUUUCGGGUUUCUAGUUAAUUGAAUAGGGGCAGCUGUAAUACCCCAAAAUUUACCCUUCAUUUUUCCUGGAAGCAUGGGAUUAUGUUUUACACUUCAUGAGCAUCAUACUAGGUCAUACUCAUUGCAUACUGCAUUAGUGAUUGGGAAAUCAGGUUUUGAUUGAUCACUCCUUAACAGAAGGAGCCCACACAAAGCAAGAUUGGGAGUUGGACUUCAUUUUCUAAAUAUACAAGUCUCAAAGGUUCUCAGGGGGGUCCAAGUAUCUUAUUAUGGUCCUCAGUUCAUCAGUGAAGGAUUCAAAGCUAUCAGAGUGUUCAUCUGGAUUUAAAUAGAAAUUAGGGUUUCAUGGCUACCUGAAACAGGAAAGUUGGAAGUAGAGGAGCUCAUCCAUGUCAUGAUUAGAUAGGCAUCUUGGCCUAGGAAGAUUCACAAUUAUCUCAGAAAGAUCCAUUGGCAAUCAGUGCAAUCAGUUCUUGAUCAUUUUGCCCUAAAACUAGGUUUGGUAUAAAAUCAGUUUAAUUUCUUUUCUUUUUUUUUUUUUUUUUUUCGUUUUUUUUUUUUUUUUUUCAUGAUCUUUGGGUGAAACUCUUUUACAUGGCCCUCCAGUAUGUCCAUUAAGGGUCUACAUACAAAAAAAUCAGCUCUUUAUUUGAGCUAGAAGUGCUUCAAUUGAUCAAUGGAAUCGGGAAUCAGACAGUUUGGGAAAAGUCAACUGUGGGGCCAGAAAAGUCAACUCCUGACAUUUUGAGAGUGGAAUUUCAAAGUCCAUGCCUAGGGGAUCCUACAUGUGAAAUUUGAUCAAGGUUGGAUCAUGGAUUCAUCAUUUAAUCAGGAAUUGGAAAGUUACUUAAUUUGGAAAAGGUUGACUUUCCAUUUAGGGCAAGUUUUCAUGGUCGUUGCACUCACUUUAAGCCCAUUUUUCAUCAAGAUAAAAGCUCCAUUUGAAAAUUUCUCCAACAUGAACGUUGUUCCUCUUGUUUCAAGCUUUCUAGAUAUAUAAAGUUUGCUCCAUUUGGAUUAGAAUUGAGAAAGUUAUGCUUAGUCAAAGUGAGACAUUUUUUAAGGACACUUAGAAAAAUUUCUAAGUCCAAAAUCUUCAAAAUUUGUCAAGACUUCUUGGCCAGUUUUCUUGCACUUCAAGGAAUUAUUUGAAAAUACUUUCUUCACAACAAUUGUACCUUACCAUGUCCUGUUUCACAUACUUUUAGAAUAAUCUCAUUUGGAUCCAUGGUUUGAGAGAUACAUUCAUUUAAAAUGGGCACCAUGACUUGAUUUUCUAGGCAGAUUUUGGGUCUGGCUGGCCCAAUCAGAUUUUCUAAGCAUGCUGCACAAACCAGUCACGUUUUUUUACCGCUUUUGGCCAUGCAUUAGACAUCCAUUCACUUAAGUUUGGCCAAAAAUAACAACAUUUUACACCUCACUUCACACUUUUAUUCUUAUGGAUAAAUCACUUAUUAAAAAGCUCAUGAGAACACCUGAUCCACCCUAUUUAAGAAGCUGAAACCCUAACCCUGAAGGAGCAUCGGAAUUUUGUGGCAAGGAGGCAAAGCUUCAUCACAUAUCAGAUCCCAUUUCACUUCUAUUCUCCAUUAGGUAAUCAUCUCUUCCAUGGCCAUGUUUUGAUAUAUCUACGCUUGCUUACCAUGUUCAUCACCAUUAUUGAUAUGAAAUUGUACAUAUGGUGAGUACAAGGAUGAAGACACCCUUGAUGAGGGUGUUGCGAAAAUUGAAAAAUAAAUGAAAUGGCAAUGGGAAAUAUCUUGUAUAUAUUUCUUCCAUUGAUUACAACAUUGGCCUUAGUCUACUUGUAGAAUCUGAAUUCCGAGACCUUGCUUCGACUGACGGUGAUUGGAUCGGUCCUUGACCAUCUGAUAUCUAGCUUGUAGCGUAAUGGACUCAAGGAUCAUAGUCAAUGCCCUUAUCCCUAACUUUUGCCUGGAUAUUUUGAUUCUUUUCGUCCAUCUGGAUUCUCCUUAUUGACUAAGCCACCCUUUCAGGUUUUUGACUUAGCGAUCCUUAUAUUUGUUCCCUAACUUUUGCAUGAACAAUUCAUUUUUGGUCCACCGGGAUAGCCAUUUUUGCCUAGAUCAAUCUUGCGGAGAUUAAUCUAGCGGGAUUUUAUCAUUUCUUUUUAGGCAUAAUAUUUUUUGACUAUGUCUACAUUCACUGGCGAGGGCAAGUCUUACCCAUCCAUUGUUGUGAGGAUUAGGGACCCACCUGAGAAGGCCUUCUUAAUGACGAAAGGUCCCUCAUAGUUGGGAGUCCAUUUGCCUCGCGGGUCCGAGUGAAUAGCAUAAUACCUUUUGAGCACGAGUUCUCUGGCGCGGUACUCAUGAGGAAGAACCUUCUUGUCAAAAGCUCGUUUGAGACAUCUUUGGUAUAACUGACCAUGACAGACGGCCGUCAAACGUUUUUCUUCGAUCAGAUUCAGCUGGUCAUACCGUGAUUGAACCCAUUCAGCUUCAUCGAGGUCAGCCUCCAUGAUGACUCUGAGUGAAGGAAUAUCAACUUCAAUCGGUAGGACAACCUCCAUCCCAUACACCAAAGAGUAUGGAGUUGGCCCAGUGGAUGUGCGGACUGAGGUUCUAUAACCAUGCAGAGUGAAGGGUAACAUCUCAUGCCAGUCUUUGUAUGUCUUGACCAUUUUUUGGAUGACUCUCUUGAUAUUCUUAUUAGUUGCUUCUACGGUGUCGUUCAUCUUGGGCCGGUAUGGUGAAGAGUUGUGGUGCUUGAUCUUAAAUUCUUCGCACAACUCUUUCAUCAUAUUGUUGUUGAGGUUACUGGCGUUGUCAGUGAUGAUCUUGCUAGGUAUCCUAUAACGGUAAAUUAUCUCUUUCUUGAUAAAUUGGGUAACCACUUGUCGAGUGACAUUAGCAUAUGAAGCAGCUUCGACCCAUUUCGUGAAGUAGUAGAUGGCGACUAGGAUGAAUCGAUGCCCAUUGGAAGCUUUGGGCUCUAUCAUUCCAAUCAUAUCGAUGUCCCACAUAGAAAAAGGCCAUGGAGAAGUCAGAACAUUCAACGAAGUUGGUGGUACGAAGAUUUUGUCACCAUAUAUCUGACAUUUGUGACAUCUUUUAACAAAGUUGUAACAAUCGACCUCCAUUGUCGUCCAGUAAUAUCCAUCCCGAAGGAUCUUCUUGGCCAUAGCAUGGCCCUUUGCAUGUACACCCUCGCAGCCUUCAUGUAUGGAUUUUAUGAUUGUACUAGCUUCGUGUCUAUCCACGCAUCUGAGCAGUACAGAAUCAUAAUUCUGCUUGUAUAGCACAUCACCGUUUAGGAAGAAUUUUGAAGAGAGUCUUCUUAAAGCUUCUUAUCGAUAAUGGAUAUACCCUCGAGAUAUUGUCGUUUCUCCAAAAAUAUCUUUAUGUCAUAGAACCAAGGCUUGUCAUCAGGAUCGACCUCAAUUGCUAGACAAUGUGCUGGUUCAUCUAAGUAGUCAAUAUGGAUGGAUGUGGCUUCAUUCUUCCAUUUGACUUUGAACGUAGAUGCCAACGUGGCUAGAGCAUCUGCUAACUGAUUUUCUUCCCUAGAAAUAUGGUGAAAUGAGAUUUCAUCAAAGUAGGGUAGCAGUUUUCUGAUAUGCUCUUUGUAGGGUAUCAACUUGCUAUCCCGAGUCUCCCAAUCACCUUUUACCUGACUGAUUAGCAGAGCUAAAUCACCGUAUACCUCAAGAAUCUUGAUCCUCAAGUCGAUUGCCGCCUCUAAACCCUAGGUACAUGCUUCAUAUUCUGCCAUAUUGUUGGUGCAGUCAAAACACAAUCUAGCGGUAAACAGAAGGUGGAAAUCAGCUGGAGAAGUGAUAACAACACCAAUGCCAUGACCUCGAGCAUUGGAAGCACCUUUGAACAUGAGUGUCAAUCCCGAUCCUGGUUCGGGGCCUACUUCAAAGCCUGGCAUAGUGAAGUCUCUAAUGAGUAUCGGGUCUCACAUUCAAUGAAUUUCUUGCUGAGAUAGUAGAUAGCAUGUUCUUUCUUGUCGGUGUCGUCAUGUUGACCCAAAACACAACCCAUAGAUUCAUCAAGCACUGUGAGGUACAUAAUGAGAGGCCUACCAGGAACCGGUGGUAUCAAGAUGGGUGGUUCUUGCAAGUACUUUUUUAUUUUAUCGAAAUCCGCUUGACAAUCGUCGUUCCAUACAAUUGAUUGAUUCUUUCUCAACAGUUUGAAUAUUGGUUCGCAGGUAGCCGUUAAAUGUUAUAUGAAUUUGGAGAUGUAAUUAAGUCGCCCAAGGAAGCCUCAGACUUCUUUUUCUGUUUGGGGAGUUGACAUUUCUUGGAUGGCUCGAACUUUGUCGGGAUCAACCUCAAUACCUUUUUGACUGACUAUGAAACCCAAGGGUUUACCGGAUCGGACCCCAAAAAUACAUUUAGCCAGAUUCAGGUACAGCUUAAACUUUCGGAGUCUGACAAACAAUUUCCUCAAGUUCACCAAGUGAUCUUCUUCAGCUCUGGAUUUGGCAAUCAUGUCUUCCACAUAAACCUCAAUCUCUUCAUGAAUCAUGUCGUGAAAGAGGGUUACCAUGGUGCGCUAAUAUGUUGCCCUGCAUUCUUUAAGCUGAAUGGCAUGACUUUGUAGCAGUAAGUUCCUCAAGGCGUAAUGAAAGUUGUCUUCUUCAUAUCUUCUAGUGACAUCUUUAUCUGAUUGUACCCGGAGAACCCAUCCAUGAAAGAAAAGACGGAAAACUGAGUUGUAUUAUCAACCAAAACAUCAAUAUGAGGCAAAGGGAAAUCAUCCUUCGGACAAGCUCUAUUGAGGUCUCGAUAGUCUACACACAUUCUGACUUUACCAUCUUUCUUCGGAACUGGAACGAUAUUAGAAACCCACUACGGAGAUUCAUAAAUGGCUAAGAAGCCAACGCCAAGCUGCUUCUUAACCUCUUCCUUGAUCUUGAGUGCCAUGUUGGAUCUAGUCCUUCUGAGCUUCUGCUUGACUGGAGGACAUUCAGGCAUGAGUGGCAGGUGAUGUUCAACAAUGCUGGUGUCUAAUCCUGGCAUAUCUUGAUACAACUAAGCGAAGACAUCAACGUAUUCAAAUAAUAACUCUGCCAACUCGGAGUGCACAUGCUUGGCAAGAGAUGCCCUAACUUUUACUUAUUUUUUUCAGUUUCAGAACCCAAGUUAAUGACAUCCAUCGGUUCUUUGUAUGGUUGAAUCUCUUUUUCUCCGUGCUCAAGGAGUCGUGCUAGUUCAGCUGGUAAUUCACAAUCUUCCUCACUGUCGUCUUCAGCUUGGUUGAUUGGAAAUCCAGAUUUACAGUUGAUUUUAGCCAUGUUGUAAUCAAUAGUUUUGUUUUCUCUGCAUAUGAUAAGCUUAUUUUAGUAUGCUUUUUUUUGAGAAAAGUGAAAAAAGAAAAAGAAAUCUUUUGCCAUUUCGUUGUUUUUCGUGAAAAAGGAAAAUAACUGAAAGAAAAGGGAACACAUAAUACUUUUAAACAUGGAGGCCCUUACAAGCUAUCCUCUCGUCUCGGGCGAGGACGAGGGAUUGAGAAAACAAAAUGCAUUACGUUUUUUCAAGUACACUAUGGGAAACACAGUGGUCGUCCAAUUGGGAAGCUUGAACCCUGUAGGACAUCUGCGUAUGAGGCUUGGUGCCCCUGGUUUGCUACCAUUGGACUCUCCAAUAACUGCCACAGUAUGUUCAUUUUGAUAGUCGGUGCUGCUGAAUUUGACCUGGUUGAGCUGCUUUUACUUUGGGCUUGCCUUACGUGCUGCUGGGUGAUAACCGAUACCAAUCCUGUCACGUUUCUCUACCACAUUGACAACCUUAGCCCAACCGGGAAGCGUGCCCUUUACCACUGUCUGCUUGACACUUUUUGCUGAGGAUAGAAUGGUAGCGGAUGAUUGGUUAUGAUUGGUGGUAGAGGAACUGACUUCUUCAAACUCUAAACAAUGGAGCGGAACUUCACCAAUCCCUUCAUCUGUUUCAACAUAUCUGAACGGGGAGAGUUCACUAACCAACAAAUCUUCUUCAGCAUACAUAAUUACUAGUUUAUCAUCAAUCAAGUAUUUCAGCCUUUGGUGCAGUGUAGAAGUGACUGCCCCAACAGCAUGAAUCCAUGGUCUGCCCAACAAACAACUAUAAGUCGGGUUGAUAUCCAUGAAUUGGAAGGUGAUGCUGAAUUGGUGGGGUCCAACACAGAUGGGAAAAUCGACUUCCCCAAUAACCUGCCUUCGGGAACCAUCGAAAGCUCGAACGAUCAGUGCGCUGGUCCUCGUCUCAAGCCCCUUAAACCGCAAUUGGCUUAAUGUAGAUUUUGGCAAUACAUUAAGCGAAGAACCAGUGUCAACGAGGACUCGAGAUAGGAGAGAGUCAGUGCAUGUGACAGAAAUAUGUAGUGCUUUGUUGUGGGCAUUUCCCUCAGGAGGUAGCUAUACUUCAUUAAAUCCCAGAUACCUACUGGCAGUGAUAUUAGCAACCACGUUGUCAAAUUGAUCAACCGUGAUAUCUUGCAUCACAUGAGCGACAUUUGGAACUUUCAGCAAUGCCUUGCGAUGAGCCUCAGAACUUAAUAGCAAGGACAAAAUUGAUAUUUUGGAGGGGGUCUGAUUCAACUGGUCAACAAUUUUGAAAUCACUUUUCUUGAUCAAUUUGAGGAAUUCCUGACUUUCCUCAAAAGGGAUGUUCUUCUUGUGAUCCUCAACUUGUUCUUUCUCAGCCAUCGGCCAUUUACCCUUAGACGUUUCGGAAUCUGCAGUUUUAUUGUCAAUAACCUUCGUCAACACUGGAGCAGUCGUCACGCUCGGAGUGGCAGGUACAGCUGCCCCUGCCUGCGGAAUUGGAGUAGGAAUGACCUUCUCCUUAGGCGGGUUAACUGUGGGUGCUGGAGACACCCUAAAGGUACAGCUGCCCCUGCCUGCGGAAUUGGAGUAGGAAUGACCUUCUCCUUAGGCGGGUUAACUGUGGGUGCUGGAGACACCCUAGGAGUGUAGUUUGGAUCGAAUACAUGGCCACUCCGAGUCAUGCCUCCCAUUCUAGCAAUGUUGAUGAUUUCUGUGUCAGGAAUGUGGAUUUCUUUUCCUCCAAAUAUGUUGUAGUUUUAUAAUUCCAAGGCACCGCCUUGGUAUUCUGAUACGGGAACGGAGUGGGAACACGGAAAUGAAUCGGCUGAAUCCUCUUGGGAGGAGCUUCAACCUUCUUCUUUCUGUACACAAUUGUUAUUGGUUCAAUUACUUCCACCUCUUAUGCUGCUUUAGACUUGGAGAACUGUAUUAAACCUUGAUCCAUCAGUUCUUGCACACAACCCCUCAUCUUGUUGCAAUUGUCUAGAUCAAACUCGCAUACUACGCGAUCAUCAUGCACACCUUCUAGAAACCCAAAUUGUUCAAGCCUCUGUAACACAACUGACGUCUAAGGCUUCACCUCUUCGGCCAUUAGUACGGAUUCAACAUUUUCCUCUUCAAUCACAACGUUGACUGUUGCGCCGUCGUGGUUUGACAAGGGAUUAGUCUUCACAUUAGGCUUUUCCUGGGAGAAAGACAAGAUCUCUUGAUCAAUUAACUCUUGAAUCCUCUUGUUGAGGGCCCAACAGUCCUCAGUGGUGUGUCCUAUAUACCCUACAUUGAAAGCGUAAGUGGCAUUAGGAUUGUGAUUGCGAUUUAAGGGAGGAGAGGAUGUUGGGAGUUCUCUUGGUACGAUAGCCCCUACGUGGAUCAAACACGGAACCAACUCUACAUAUGGUACCAAGAUCUUAUCAAAUUAGGACGAUUACCAAAAUUACUCCUAUUGUUCUAACCUCGACUUUGUCCUUUGUUGUCACGAUUAUAUUGUUGGUUCGAAUUUCUCUGAGUGGGUGUUGAUUAUUGAUUACCUUUCUGCGGUUGGUACUGGAAUGUCGGUUGUUGAUAUUGAGCUACAGCGACGUAUGGAUACGAAUAAUACGACACAGGGGCCAUCAGAAAUUGAUAUUGGGGGUGAGCACUCGCCGUCACAAUGUUUGCUUCCCCCUCCUUCUUUUUUGCGAAGCCCCCAUGUGGCCUCUUGUUCAUUGUCUAUGGAGCGGUCGUGUCUGUGAUUUUCCCCGAUUUCAGCUCAUUCUCUACACGCUUCCUAAUGGUUACCAUAUCAGCAAAAUUUGUUGACGAACUGCCGAUCAUCUUCUCAUAAUACAACCUUUGCAGUGUACCCAUGAAGAUAUCUACCAAUUCGUUGUCAGAUAAUAAUGGUCGGACCCUAGACGCCAUUUUGUGCCAAUGUUGAUCAUACUCUUUGAAGGUUUCAUUAAAUCUCUGUGACUGAUUCUGUAAUUGAAGCCUUGUCGGAUCCAUGUCAAGGUUGUAUUUAUAUUGUUUCAAGAAUGUCUCGGAUAGGUCUCUCCAUGACCAUAUUUUUGUGCGUUCCAGACCCAUGUACCAAUCCAAGGAAGCCUCGUACCGGCUAUCCUGGAAGCAAUGGAUCAGGAGGUUGUCAUUAUCGAUGUGUAAGGACAUUUUUCGGCAGUACAUGGUGAUGUGACUGCAAGGACAGCUGAGGCCUUUGUAUUUCGGGAGGUCACGCACCUUGAAUUUCUGCGGGAGUACUACGUUCAGGACCAAGCAGAGGUCUCGAACGUCUAUGCUGAAGGCGGAGAAACCCUCGAUGGCCUUUAUUAUGUUGUACACGAGUUGAUAAUCCGUUGAUCUGGCCAGAUCAGUAGCGGGAGGAGCAACCUGACUGGCGGGUCGAGAGGUUUCAGGAGCUAUUUGCACAAGCAUAUUUGGGGUAAACCACAUUUGAGGCGGGUAGGAGAAACCCGAAGGCACAAUUUGGGCAGCGUGAACCAUUUGAGGAUACUGUAGUCCAGCCUGAGCAUUGGGGGUCUGAGGUGCCCCUGUCUGCACAUGCUGGAGUGCAGGGUUGACAGGUGCGUAAGUCAACAUGGGCAUGGAGGUUUCCCCAGGAUAGCCAAAUGGAAUGGUCAGGAACUGACUUGUGCUCGCAGGUUGAGCAGUCUGAGCGGGGAUUUGAAAAUGGAGGCGCGGGCCUCGGUACUCAACCUCAGUGUUAUGGGUGUCGUCAGGGACCUGACCUUGAUUAGUCUCUGGGUUGGCAGAAUUGACCGAAGGAUUUUGGACAGUGGGGACACCCCACAGGAAACCAGUGUUUCCAACAGCAGCAGAAGUAGAGAGAGUCGGAUGAGGGAAGAAAGCCCCCCCAUUGGCGAGAUGAGUAGCAAAGUGCGGGGGCAUUCCCCAAGGGUAGGCAGCAGCAAGCCUAGUCAAGUCAGCAGGGACCAGUUGACGGUUCCCAGUGGUUGGCACCACAGUCUCCAUCGGAGUUUUGACGGUAGUGCCAACAGCAGGAGUAGGAUUGGUCACCUCAACAGCAAGGGUGACAUUGGCAGCAGUAGAGGUAGGGGCCCUCUAAGUUUUGAGAAUUUCCAGGAUGGUCUCCAUGUUUCCCCUGAAGAGGUUCAUCUCGCCUUGAACCUGGGCGAGGGAUUCACAGACAGCAACAUUGUUAGCUUCGUAAUAAGCCAUUAUCCUUGAUUUGUUUGAGCGCGUGAAGUAUUGAUGACGAGUCUCGUUGUUGCUGUGGAAAAACGGCGAGAGUAAGCAUUUUGUUUUCUGGAGGCUUAUGACAAAUAAAUGCGGGAAUGCAUGUAUGUAUGCGAAAAGAUUGAUGUGUACAUUUAUUUUUUUACGUUAUGUUCAUUUUUUGUAAAGGAAAACAAUUCCAAGGAAUCCCUGAGUUGGUUUAUCUAACCUAAGCAAAUACAAAGCAUAAAGAGGGACAGUUUAUGAAGCCAAUAGCCGAGAAACUCUUUUAUUCAAUAUCGAAAAGACAAAAUACAGGUUCGUAUCAAGGAACCGCCCAUUGGGCUACAAGAGUAUCAACAUUGACCUUAUCAGACAUCAACCUAGUGAACAAGAGUGAAUUACAAAUCAAACUUGAAUAGCGGUACUUAGAAACAUCUUGACAGAAACUCUUUGUAAUAAGUAUGAGACUUCAGGGGCAGGCGUGCAUCCUAUUUUCCCAAUAUUGCACUCCCUUCAGGUGGUAAGUCGUGAUCAAGUUCGCUUAGAACGCUGCUCACAACUCUUUUCUCUCGGUUGGGGAGAUCUUCAGGGUGCCUAUUCACUUGUGAGAGUAGGUUGGUGUCUUCCAGAUUCUUAUGUGAUUGCUCUUUUAGCUUGUGAAUCUCCUCUAGCCUCUGGUUUAGCUCGUACUGAUUCUGGCGAAGAGUGACUUCUAGCUACUUGGUACGACUUUGCUCAUCCUUCAACUCUUUCUUGCAAGCUUCUAGCAGACUUUGGAGUUUCUUGGUUUGUUCCAUGUGAUCGAGCUCCGCUUUGCUAGCCCGGUAUAGAGUUUCGGCUAAUUGCUUCUUCUUGGUUGUCAAACUGGCAUAAGUCCCUUUGAGUGUGUCACCCACUUUGAUUCUUUUGAAUACCUCUGUUUGUACCUCACCAUCUGCUUAGCGUACUCUAUCUCUCUUCUGAUUCAGAUUGAACUUCAAAGUUUCUUUCUCCAAGAAGAUUUUACCAAGUCUAGAUUUGAGAUCAACAUUCUCUUUCUCUAGGGUCUUGAUAACUUUUUUCAAUUCAUCGACUUCAGAAUUUUGAUGGAUUACUCGUUCAAGAGGCUUGACAUUCAUGGACGGUUCAGGCGGAAACGACAAUAGAUUCUUACUAACUCUGUCUUUGACCCAUCUGGUGUAAGCUUCCUUGGCAAUGCAAUUCUUCUUACCCAUUUAUGUUCUUCCUUGAGGACAAAUUGCUCCCUAAGUCUUGACAAUCUUCUUGACUAGUUCUGGCUCUUCGACCCCUUCAUAUAAUACGAAACCUUCUACACUCUUGAGGUUAGGCUUGUCCACCAUAGGGUAUCCCAGUUGUCGUAGUGCUAGCCUCAAAUUGUAAUUGAUUCCCCCUUUUGUACCAAGAAGAGGUACAUUAGGAAAAUCUCCAUAGUUGAGGGUAAGCUUGACACCGUCGUAGACUCGAGAAUACCAAGAAAUGUCUUCAGCGUUCAAGGACAUGAUCUGCUGGGGCCACUUCAAGUGGUCUUUAUUCUCAACAAAAGGGCCUUUGUUGGGUAGAUGCGAAAUAAACCAUUUGUACAACAAAGGGGUACAGCAAACGAUUGUCCCCUUCUUCUUUUGGGUUCUCACAUGGAUGGAGUAGUAAGUAUCAGCAAGAAAAGUGGGGAUAGAUUAUGAGUUAGGAAAAUAUGAAUAGCAGCCAAAUCUACGAAUUCCUCCAUAUUCGGGAACAAUACGAUCCCAUAGAUAAGUAGAGCUAGAUUGGCAUUGAAGGUCGUCCAACUCCCAGCUUCGGCGAAGGCAAUAGCUUUGUCCACUAGAAACUUGGAGGUGAAACCAAGAAUUCCACCCUUAGGUUUCAAGUUCAAUUCUACUUCCUUCUUUCCUAUGUGUAGAGCUUCAGCGAGGUCUUUAUAUUUAGGAAGUUCCUUAGUGCGAACAUAAGACACUUGGUUUAUGAUCCUAAUACCAAGAAUGUGGGAAUACUCUUCCAAUGUAGGUGCCAACUGGUAAUCUUAGAAUGGAAAGCAUCUCAGCAUAAUGCCCAAAAGGUUACCAUAAGACGCCUUAAAGUCAUCUUUGUAUCCCAGAUUUAAAUGUGCCCCAAGUCCUCUCAAGACAGCCAACUGGGGGUCCACAAACUUGUAAUUGUGAAUGUUCUUUCUCUCGGGAUUCAUGCUUCGCUUUGAGUGCUUGGUAAACAAACUGGACUCUUGGAUUCCUGGGAAAAAAUGCAUAUGCAAAAAUUUUGUCAUGAUGAAUGAUAAUGUAAUGAUGGGAUGAUAUAAGUCACAUGGAUUCAAAACUUUGGUAUGUUCUGAACAAUCUGUAUAUGCCACACGUUGCAAGUUCAAUGGUUCGACGUAACAUGAGUAUCAAGGUAGGUAGAGUCCAUGGUUUCCUACAAUAAAAGCCCAUAUCCCCCUCACAGGUGUGGACUAUGCUCCAAGGUGGUCCCUAGAAGGUGUCCCAGAGUCAUCGGCUCGAAAUGGAAAUACCCUGCCGUAGUGAAUACUCUUAGGACAAAAGUACUUCCAAGUGAAUCUAGUCUGAGUGUGGUUCUCGUUACAACCCAACACACGAAACGCAUGCGUACACGACUAUCCACGAGUCUAACCUAUGUGUAUACUAAGCUCGGUUACAGAGCUUUCCUCUCAUGUAGUCUAUCCCAUCCCAACAAUAGCACAAUAGAUAAUAUCCAUAAUAUAAAGCGAAGAAGAAAUGUGAUAAAUAGAAGCGAGUAAAUAUAUAAAGAUAAAUACCUAAAACUAGCGAGGGAACAACCUAAACUAGGCUCGACUUCUUUUAGGGACUAGGAAGUACCCCAAGUAGCAAAGUCUCCCCAGCAGAGUCGCCAGCUGAAGCUAGCAGAAAUAUACCCGAACGUAUCGCACGCUCAAACAUACAACAGAGUCGCCAUCGAACUUUAUUUAUCCCCAAAGGGAAGGGAAAACAUCGAUAAAACCCGGGGGAAAGAGAUAUGUUGGGUAAGGAAGUCGGUUAUGCAAGGGGAAGGUAUUAGCACCCCAAACAUCCAUGGUACUAAUCCCCAAAGGGAAGGGAAAACAUCGAUAAAACCCGGGGGAAAGAGAUAUGUUGGGUAAGGAAGUCGGUUAUGCAAGGGGAAGGUAUUAGCACCCCAAACAUCCAUGGUACUCCAUGGGAACCGUUUGGAUUGUUCUCGCUCAAAUAGGUGUUAUCCAAAGAUUACUCGCAAAAGAACGGGAAAAGGAAAGAAAUAGAUAAAGUGCUCGGUGAGGAUUGGGGCCCUCAUGCCUACGUAUCCUCAUAGUGCAAUGAGGAAUUCAGAGCUUCGUAGUUCAAGGAACUAGAGGCGGAAGACGAAAAGAAGUGUGAUCAAAGUAUGGUCUGAACCAAAGAAUUGUGUUUUGAGCUCCAACCAGGGCUGAAAGCGUGAACCCAAGAGUAAACAGGUAUGAACCAACAAGUGAGGGCCUACAGCGCAGUAUCGUUGUAUUGGAAAAACCAAAAAAGAGAGGAAUUAGGUGUUUAGGUUAAGGGCCAAACAACUCUUAGUUCACGAGGAGGUAUAAGAGGGAGCACAAAGGUAUAGUGUAUUUGGCUCAAAGAAUAGGUAAAUCACAUGGAGUGAAUGAAGGUAGAUUAUGAAUGCUUCAUGGGAUGAAUGGAAUGAAGUGACCAAAGUCACAUUCUUGGAUAUUUGGUGAUAGGUGGCUGAACAAGUAUUGUUUGAAAUCGAAAGGUGAAAGUGUAUUGGAAUUCAUAAGAGAAAUGGGAUUUCUACCAUAGAGGGAAACAACUUUAACCGAUACGUGGACUAGCAGGCCGCCACUAUAGGGUGUUUAGCUAAAAAGAAGGAGUUAAGUGUUUGGGUUAAGGGCCAAACAACUCUAGGUAGAACUACAGACUAUUCAUUAGGCAUCCUAAAAGGGUGUAUAUGGAAUUCUAAAGAAGGUGUAUUUUGAUGUCAAAGGAAUAAUAUGUCACUGGGUGAACGAUUUAUGAUUGAAGGUAGAUAAUGGAUUAGUGAAAGAUAUGAAUGGUGCCCUAAGGAGAAGGAGGAAUAAUUAUAAGUAUGCUUGCCAAGGAUCCGCAUCCUCGUGCCUACAUAUUCUCAUUGUGCAAUGAGAAAGUCAGAGCAAUCGUAGUUAGGAACUACGAGAAUAGAAAGAGAGAGAUAUUUGUCUAAGAAAUGGGGACUCACAAGACAAACACUUUUUCAAGGAAGGAUAGUAGUACCGGAUAGUGCAAGGAAUAGUAUAUCACUUGCUGAGGAAUCUACAAUUCGAAGAGAAGGAUAGACUCUUAUUCAAAGAGCAAAGAGGUGUCUUAGCCGAAAAAGAAUGAAUUAAAUGUUUGGGUUACGGGCCAAACAACUCUCGAUUGAGGAGGUGGAUUGUAGUUAUCAUCCUAAAAGGAUAGACAAGGAGUCCAAGGAGAAGUACGAUUGAUCUCAAAAAGAUUGUAUGAUUGCAUGAAGAAUUAUUGAUUGGGUAGAGAAGGUAGAUUGAUAAAUAAGAUAGAUAAGAUAGCUCGCGAAGAAACUGGGUUCUUCUGCCUACAUAUCCUUAUAGUGCAAUAAGGAAAUCAGAGCUUUCGUAGUUCAGCCCACUAGGGAUGAAAGCAAGAUGGUGGAGGCAAAAUAAAUGGAUGAUUGAAUUGAAAUAAUUAGAAUGGAUAAGACUUGAUAGUUACUUGAUAAGAAUCACACUAAAGUCUAUGAGUAAAGGUGGAUACGAUAAGCAACGAGCCAAACGUCUCGCACCCAAAGAUAUCCAGAAUGAGUGUAGGAAAGCUCUAGUCUCAUUCCUUAUUUACUACUUAAGGAUCGUGGCAUGUAUAUCUCGUCUUGACUUCCAAGUGGAGAGAGAAGAAUAUUUGUAGUUGUUUCUUGUAUUGAUGAUGAAGACAUUAUCAAUCGUUCAAUUCGAAUUGCACUAAAGUCUAUGAAUAGAGGUGAAUACGAUGAGCGUUGGGUCAUACGCCCCAUACCCAAAGAUACUCAUAAUGGGGGUAGGAAUACUUCAGUCUCACUCCUUCUCUAUUGCUUAAGGCUCGUAUCAUACAACUUGAUUAAUGAUUGAUAAGUUGUUAACGUAGUCCUUGCUUCGUUGUUUUUGCUUUGUGAAGAGAUACUUGUCAAUCGUAUUAGAAUUGUGCUAAAGUCUAUGAAUAGAGGUGAAUACGAUGAGCGUUAGGUCAUACGUCUCAUACCCAAAGAUAUUCAGAAUGGGGGUAGGAAUACUUCAGUCCCACUCCUUCUCUAUUGCUUAAGGCUCGUGCUACACACUUAUAACUUUGAUUUAACAAGUUUUUAUAGAUGCCACCUUUGAUGUGCUUGAAUAACCCUCUGCUUGGUAUGACUGAGGAUCCCUUGAUUGAAGAUCUUGUCUUGAGGCCUUGAGCUCCACAGCUUAGAAUAAAAGUCUUAUUAAGUGACCAAGGGUCUUUUGGUCACUCAAUUUAGACUGUGGGAUUAUACAAGUUCAAAGGAUUUAAUUAAUCAAAAUUGCUUUUGAUCAAUUUAAUCAUGGGUUUUAUUUUGGUUUAAGGAACUAGGUUAAUCCUAAUCUAAAAGUUAGUAAUUGUUAGAAACUAUCCUAAGGGAUCAUGCAUUGCUUGAUUAAAAUUGAUUGAAAGUUCUAAGUUAUAAGUCCUAAGGGAUCAUGUACAUAUUCGUCAAAAUAUUGACUAAAAAUCCUAUGUAUAAGUCCUAAAGGGAUCUACAAUUGUUAGGAAAUGAUUAAAGUUCUAUGUCAAAUUCUAGUUCUAAAGGGAUCAUGUCAUAAAUGGAUAAAAGACCUAAAAUUACCUCUAAAGGGGAAAAUUGUCAUCUACAAAAUAUGUCCAAAACUUAAGUCUAAUCAACCUAAUUAGAACCUAAAAUGGUAAAGUCCUAACCAAUGGUUUAACCUAAUGUUGAAAAUGGCAUUAUUCUAAAUUUAAUCAAAGGCUAAUUACCCCUAAUUAAAAUAUAAUCAAAGUCCUAAUUAAAAUCCUAAUUAAACCUUCAUGAAAAUCCUAACUAAAAUCCUAAUGUCCUAAAAUCAAGAUUUAAUUCCUAAUCAUCAAUUAUCAACCUAAUUACUCUAAUAUUAACCUAAUUAAUCCAAUUACAAGUUGCGAAAAAAAAAAUUAAAAGUAAAAAGAAAUGAAAUUGGUAGGGAGGUGUAAACUAGAACUGGAAGUGUGAAUCUGGAUUUGCCUAAUGGGCUGUAGACAAGCCCACCUCAGGUUUUUUGUUACAGUGGGAAUGUGUCCAAAAAUUGUGUGGAACAGGCCAAAUGCUGCGUGGACUUUUGUUAGGCCCAAAGUCACAAUUGAGCUUCAGUAGUGGGGGUGCACGCUCAAAACACACGUGAAAUAGCAGAAAACCAAUGGGCUUUGCUAAGCCCAAACUCCAAUUCCCUCACUAAUCACUGGGGGUGCGCUAGAAACGGCAGGGUAUGAAAUGGAAUAUGGUGGGCUUGAACAAACUAAGCCCAAUCACCCCUCCCUGUUGACUUGUCCAAGUCAACAGGUUCAAAUUGAAUUUCCACGCGCACUAACUCUCCUCCUCACACUCAGUAUCACCGUUCAUACGCCAUAGACCACCGCGUCGGUGGAUGUCGCCAGUGACGAUGGUGGCCUACACCUAAAUUACCACCACCAUUGGGUUCACAAGGUCACACUUGAUGUGAAUAUGGCAAUGGAUUUGGGAAACAGUCGUUGGAUUGGUCGUAUGGAACGAAAAUAUGGAAGAAACCUAUCUCUCUAAAUUCAAAUUAAAUGGCCUCUGGCAUGAAUCAGUCUCUACCACCAUGGGGCUUGCACUCACUGCCCUAGAUACUACGCUCUGGUCAGAUCAAAGCAGGAAAACGUUAUGAAAGAGAAAUGACUUACGGGAGAAGGCGACCGGAAAAUUCAACAAGUGAGUUCUUGAAUUUCAUUCGUCCUCUUCUUAUUCCUCUUUCUUCUUCUUCUUCUCCUUCUGAACUUGGAAAUGAUGAACUGAGAUUUCUGUGGUUUAGCUUAAGAAGAUUGAAGCUUCAAUGUGAAGCUUCAAUGGCUUCUAGGAAUGAGAGCUUUGAGUAAGGUGAGAGAAGACAUGUUGCAGUAUUGAGAGUGAAGCUUCGAGCAAAUGCCAAGGGUGAUUGAAUGUGCAUGAUGAAUUUCUUAAAUAGAAGUGAGGUUUGGGAAUUUGGUUAGGUUUGGAUUUAGGUCUGGAGUUAGUUAGGGAAGGCUUGGAAUUAGUUGGUGUUGACUCACUGAGUUAACUUAAAACUCAGUUAGUUAGGAAAUAGAAACUCAGUUAGUUUAGCUAGGUUAUGUUAGUUAACGUGUGAGUGACUUCUAAACUUGAAACUGGCUAUUGCAGGUUGUCAUUUAAGUGGCUUUGGCCUUGCAUUUUGAUCCUUGACUUGCUAAACAGGUGAGUGUUAUUUUUGGCUUAUGGAUUGAUCAAUGCUACACAUGUUUAUUUCCACUACUUGUACUCAUUCCUUUGUUUUGCUUCCUAUAACCUUAUUGGUUUUGCUGCAGAAUUGUUGCAUAGCAGGGAAUCCAAUGGGCCAGUGGUCACUGUCUGCUCUUAUCAUUCAGUGGCAAAUCAUGUUCAAAACUGACAGUGGAAGCAUUUUGAUGCAGGCUUGGAACAGGGUGUUGCUUUGAGGUGUGUAUUUCACAGCAGUGAUGAUGCACUAUUGCUUCAGGUUCAUACUUGGCUUUGCAAUGCAUUUGUGUGAACUAUGUUGCAACCUCCUGCCAAUUCAGCCUGUGGUAAGUUGUUAUGUCUGACAUUUUAUUGAAUUCCAAGGUAACAACCAUAUAUGCUGGAGUUGGAAAUAGGUUUUGAAGAUUUAGCUUGGUAUUGAUUUGCAAGUGUGGCCUAGUAAACAUGUGGUUGUGUUCUGACUGUACAGGGUGAUGCUUGUGAGCUCAUGUUUUGAUCAUAUUUGUGGCUUGCAGGUCAUAUCUAGUUUCUACUGCUAUGGCUAGUGGUCUUGCUAGCAGGGUUUAGGGACCAUGUUAAGUGGUAUCAGGUUUGGUGUUGAAUUUGGUUUGUGGCAUUACAGCAAGUGUGUUGCAGGUAUGUUGUAGCAGGCCUUGCAAAGUGCAGGUUUCAGCAGAUGGAUGUACAUACCAUGGUGAGUUUUUUGAAUUCCAGUUGAUGUACCAAGCCUUGUUUGUCAUAUAUGUGUUGUGUGGUGUCGUAUUUGUAGACUAUUUAAUGGUAUGCUGCUCAAAGCUCAAACUUGGCCAAUAUUCAUGCACUAACUUCUGCAGCAUGUAUGAUAUUUCUGUACUGCUAGCUUCAAUCCUGAUCUUGUGUUGUUCUUACCUUGGUUUCGCUUCAUGUUUUGCAUAACUGAGUUUGUUGUUUGUGUUGCAUGACAGGAGUUUGUAUCCACCAGCUUGUGGCAUUGUGGUUCUGCAGUUGGUAGGUUGGUUUCAUAUUGUAGUGACACUUUGUGUUUUGUCAUGGCUUUUGAUGUAGCAGUAGGCACUUUGUGGACUUGCUUGAGAUUGCAUUGCAGUAGAUAUUUAUGACCAUUAUUGUUAUGUAUUGUAGCAGGUCUGGAUUGGUUGCAAAGUUGUAGGCUCAAUUGACUGUGUAUGCUUCUGUUAUUGGUUUGGCAUGCUUCAGGUUUGCAGAUAGGUCCAUAUGUAUGAUGGUUGCAGUUGGUAUGUUGAACUGUUUGGUCGAGUUUCAUUGUUUAGCAGCAAAUUAGAUGGUUUGUGGCAAGGUUGGCUGACAGGUUCAUAUGGCAUUGGUUCAGUUUGUGUGCAUAUCUUGAUUUUAAGGUGCAUUGUAUAGCCAUACUAACUUUGAACUUAUGCAUUAUUUUGGCAUGGUUGCACAGGUUCAAUACUGGUUUAGGUUUGCCGUGCAGCUUGGUUCAUUGCUCAAUUCCUUGGUGGCAGCUUGGUGAAUUUGGUCAUGGCUUUUAUGGUUGAACAAUGUAAUGACAACAAGGUUGGAUUUUAAAGUAACAUGUACCAUUGGAUAUUCAAGGAUCAAAAUGGAACAUGGAAGAUUUGGGUUAUGGUUAGGAUAUGGAUUGUGUUGGCGUUGGCCGUUGUUUAUCUUGCAGGCCAUGGUUGGAUGGACAAACAAGCAUGGUUAGGUAAAGGCUCAAACAAAGGCAUGGUAAGCAUGAUAUUACCAAUGGGCCAAAUUACUUGAAAAUGAAGAAACCCAACAAAGCAAAUCACAUCAAGACCUUUGGAUGAUGUGUCAAGGCCAAGUGGGUUAGAUUAGGUUUGUGAGGGUCAAAAAAUGGGAAGGUUGACUUUGGUCAAAGUUGACCAAAAAGUCAAUUGUUGACCAAAGUCAACAGUCAGUCAAAAUUCACUUUUCUUUGUAUUUUUCUGGUAAAAGGACAUUGAAUUGAUGAUUUUGGGUGAUUUUAGGGUUUAGGGAGUCUGGGUUGACUUUGGUCAAAGUUGACCAAAAAGUCAAUUGUUAACCAAAGUCAACAAAUGGUCAAAAUUGUCAAGACUUGUAAUUUUUCAUGUAAAAUCAAAUGUGAUGGUUUAGAAUGGUGUGAAAUGGAUUGAAAUGGAUUGACAAAUGGUUUGAAAUUGAUUUUGUUCCAUGUACCUGAAUGCUUGACUUUGAAAAGAACAUGACUUGACUGGUAAUAUAUGUUAACAUGGUUUAUGAACAAGGUUAUGAAUUGAGGGCAUAAUAUUAGGGUUUGAAUGAAACAUCCAUGAAUUAAUGGGCAUGACUUGCAACUAGAUUGUGACACGAGAGGCUUGGUUGUUUGGAUGACCAAGGCCAUAGAUACACCAACAAUCAACUGGACAAGAAUAGGUCAUUGAGGCCAAACCAAGACUAGACCAAGUACAUUUAUAAUAGGUGAAAAUUGGGUGUCAUUUAGGGUUAUGGAUGCCACUAGAUGAAGAGUCAAGCCACCAAGUCCAUCAGAUCUAUUAUCUUCUUGAUUAGGGUUUUCCUAAGGCCUACCCCUCAAGCAAAUCUUUUGAACCAAGCCAUAUGCUUCAAUCAUCAGUCUUCCAAUGUGUAAGCUUGCAUUAUGGUUUUGAAGGCCAAGACAAGGCCUAGGGAAGCUCCCUAAGACCUCAUCAUAAUAUCUUGAAGAAUUAGGGUUUUGAAGACCCUAGAUGAUUGCUUGGACAAAUCCUUGUUGAAUUCAAUCCUCUACCAUCACAAUUAGGGUUUCAUAUCCCAUAUGCUUGAUGGGGUAAUCAGACCAUGCUUUUGAAUCUUGAUCUCCACACAAACCCUAGCUUCACAGGCCCAAGGUUUUGAAUCCAUGGUGAUCCAUUAGUGAAGAAAUGAUGCAUAUGAAUGAAUUAUGAAUGUAUGCAAGUGAUCCCCAGACCAAGUGGUUGGAUGAAUAAUUAGAAAAAAGGGAGGGACAAUUUUGGGGUACAACAAUUGACAUAUGAUCUGAUUCUUGAUCAACCUCAUAACAACUUGCUUGGUUACAUUAGCAUAUGAUGCCGCUUCAACCCACUUCGCGAAGUAGUCAAUAGCCACUAAGAUGAACCGGUUUCCAUUUGAUGCCUUGGCCUCUAUCAAGCCAAUCAUAUCAAUUCACCACAUGGAGAAGGGCCAUGGAGAGGAAAUGACAUUCAAAAGUGUCGAAGGAACAUGAAUCUUAGCCGCAUAGAUUUGACACUUGUGGCAUUUCUUCACGUAUUUGCAACAGUUAGAUUCCAUUGUCAUCCAAUAGUAACAUGCUCAUAACAUCUUCUUUGCCAUAACAUGUCCAUUGGAAUGAGUACCAAAGGAACCUUCAUGGACUUCAAUCAUCAAUAGGUCUGCUUCGUGUCUAUCCAUGUGAUUGGUAAAAUAGCAAGUGUACUAUUUGCACCAAUGUAGUAAUAAAAUGGGAGUUAUCCCGAGUAUCGAUCUCGAGGAUUGCGUAUUAAGUACAAAUCUUUACAAUAAUUCCAUUGAACAAAAGAUCAAAGGGGGUUGGUUGAUUUUUUUCGAAAUGAUAAUUACGAGAAUAAAUUAAACAAAAUGUAUAAAAAUCAAUCAAUCAAUAUAAGAAAGCAUGCUAGGGCAAGAUGUAUGAAUUUCUUUGUACUACACUACUUCCACAUUAUAUAAUAUCUACAUUGUAAUUAUUCAAAGCCGAUUCUCAAGAAUUGUUUUCUCUAAUCCCUUAGCCGAAAACCUUUAACAGUCAAUCUCAAUCCUAAUUCCUUAGCUAUUCAAAAUGACGUUAAGAAAUACACAAUUGAACAAGAAUUAAUGGCUACUACGGUUUGAUCCUUAUUCCUAAGCGAUUAUACCGAAGUAUUAUCAUGCAAAAAGCGAUAAGGUGGUUUUUCCAACCUAAACCUUAACCAUAGAUCAAAAUUCUAUUUGUCCGAUAAAAUAGAGCAUUAAGAACUUUGUAUAAUAAUUUGAAUUAAUAACAAUGUUGAUGAUCAUAAAAACAUAGAAAUAUUGUUCAUACAUUAGCAAUUCAGGGACACCCCCUAGCAUUGGGGGGUUUAGCUUCUCAUAGUAUUCAAAGAAAGCAAAUUACAAAAUAGAGACAUUACAAUCCUUUGGUGAUGAAGGUUGAUCUUCAAUCUCUUCCGAUCUUGAAAAUCUCUUCUUCUCCAAACUCCUUGGCAGCUCUCUUCUCUUUUCUGUCUCUUUUUCGUACGAUCCAAAAAGUCCCCUUUCUCUUUACCAAUAGUAGACUAAAUAGUUCCAAAUCAUCUAAAAGCAUCGUGAAAUACCAAGACUGCCCUCCGGACUUACAAAGGGAUUUGAACAAUAAAAAUCAGCAAAAGGGGAGAAUUGGCCAACACGGCCUGUGUCAGCUGACAAGGGCGGCCGUGUUGGCUCUCUGUUACUCUGUUUCCUUCAGCCUUUGCUGACACAGGCCGUGUCAGCUGACACGGGCACACAUGGCAGCCCCCUGUUUUCUGCUUCCUUGCUCUCCACUCCUGCACAGGCUGACACGGGCACCCGUGUCAGCCCCCUGUUUUCGUGCAUAUUUCGCUUUGCAAACUGUUUUUGACUCCCGUUCUUCCCUUAUGCAUCUUUUGGGCUUAUUGCUGGACCUGGAAACCAAAUAGAACUACCACGGAAGCGCAUAAAUGCGACAAGAAGAGAUGAAUCACUAAUAAACAUAAAACAAGAAGGAAAUUAUGAAAUGCGAUAAAACUUAGGAAAUCAACUAAAAGAAAGAACAAAGUGUUACCGAUUCUUGAAGAUUCAUGCUGGAUGGAUGAUGAAAACUGAGUGCAAAUGGUGACCGAUCACCAUGCAUCUGAGCAAAACCAUAUCGAAAUUUCUCUUGUAAAGCAUGAAAUUCUGGUAUCAGAUAUAAGAUAUCGAAGGUAAUGUUACGACACUGAUAUCUGUCAACACACAAUGGAUAAAUAAACAGAAUGGUAAAGCAAAUAACACAAGCAAUUGUUAACCCAGUUCGGUAAUCAGAUAUAAGAUAUCGAAGGUAAUGUUACGACACUGAUAUCUGUCAACACACAAUGGAUAAAUAAACAGAAUGGUAAAGCAAAUAACACAAGCAAUUGUUAACCCAGUUCGGUGCAACUCACCUACGUUUGGGGGCUACCAAGCCAGGAAGGAAAUUCACUAAAAUAGAAUUAGUUCAAAGACUAUCCGUAUACUUCAACAAGUUACAGUCUUUCUCACCUAAUCUCUACCCGUGCAACUUCUACCUAAGCACUCUUAGAUAUGAGAACCCACUCACUUCCCUUAUAAUCACACACCAGUGAUCUUAAACAACAAUCCCUUAUGAAAAGAAAAUACUUUUCAAUUAGACAUUCUUGAUUUUACUUCACAGUUUCAAUCAAGAAGACACACUCUUGAUCUUGCUUCAAAGCUUUGAUCAAGAAGACACACACUUGAUCUUACUUCACAGCUUUGAUCAAGUAGACACGCACUCUUGCUUAACAGCUUUAGAGUGACAAAUUACAACCACAAAUAAGUCCAAUUCAAUCAUCAAUGGAUGACUUGAAUGACCUACAAGUCUUAUGACUAAACAGACACAAACCUUAGCUCUCUCUCUGUAUUUCGCUCAGUCUUGGUUGUGUGUUCAAACAGGUUUUCUAAGUCCCUUUUUAUAGAAGCUCUCAGUUGGGCUUGGACAUCUUGAAAACCCUAAAUCUAUUUUCCAAUCAAAUCUUUUUAUAACAGCUAUAAUAGAUCUCCCUUGGAAAAUAAGUAAAAUCUGGUUGUAAAUCCAUGAUUGAAUGCGCCAGGCUAGCCAUAUCUUCAAUCAUCCAAAGAUUGGCCAUUAAUUGUGCAUCACAAAACACUCAGACAUUCAUACUGAAUGUUCUGUGUACAGAUGUUCAUGACACAUCGGGUCUGACUCCUGGAAAAUCCUGCAUAAUCCAAUAAUCCUUUCAUAACUUCCAGCAGGUAACCAACCAUAUCAGAUGCCAUGACAUUGUGUAUGUCCAUCUGAAACAAUCCUGCAUGAACAUGGUCUUUUCAUUUAAAUGCUCCUGCAGGUACAUCCAUAUCAGAAGCCUUGUCUUGUAUGUGGCCAAUUCUGAAACAAAUCCUGCAUGCACAUGUUCUUGAACUCCAGCAAGGUACAUAGGAUAUCUAUGUUAAGGACAUCACACAUGACAUAUUGUGAACAACUCUUUGUUUUCAAAAUUACUGCCAACACUUAGAAUCAACAAACUCCCCUUUGGCAAAUUUUGGCUAAAACAUAUAUUUGUCCUUUUUGUUCACAAGGCAAACUAUCAGGCAGUUAAACCAACAUAACAAAAGUUUAAUCAGCAGCAGAAGCAAAACCAAUUACUAGCUAUGGCUACUAGUAUACACACAUGGGCACACGGGUACUUCUCCCCCCCUAAAUCUGUGCAACAACAACAUAAUUACUAGUUAUGGGAUGCAACUAGUAAGACACACAAAUGCACAAGCACAAGGGUAAUUUUCUUCUCCCCCCUAAUCUGUGCAUUCCAUCAAUAACAGUUACUGUAACUCCAACACCUUGUACCAGCAGAAUGGUCAUAACUGACAUCUGCUUGCAACAUUCAGCACCUGUACACCAAUCAGACAUCCCCUUUUGACAAUCUGAAAACAAAUCCAUUAUUUGUAGCACUUGUGCACUUCUUUUAAAGCAAUAGCUGUCCUCCAGUCCAGCCACACACAUUUUCUCCACAACUGCUUCAUAUCACACUUCUCCCCCUUUUAGUCAAAUUGACGCAAAGGUGACCAAUCAGACAAAAAAAUGUCAAUUAGUCUGUCAGAGAAUGUCAGGACAGAAUGUUUAAANNNNNNNNNNNNNNNNNNNNNNNNNNNNNNNNNNNNNNNNNNNNNNNNNNNNNNNNNNNNNNNNNNNNNNNNNNNNNNNNNNNNNNNNNNNNNNNNNNNNNNNNNNNNNNNNNNNNNNNNNNNNNNNNNNNNNNNNNNNNNNNNNNNNNNNNNNAAUUACUAGUUAUGGAUGCAACUAGUAAGACACACAAAUGCACAAUGCACAAGGGUACUUCUUCUCCCCCUAAAUCUGUGCAUUCAUCAAAUAACAGUUACUGUAACUCCAACACCUGUACCAGCCAGAAUGUCAUACUGACAUCUGCUUCAACAUCAGCACCUGUACACCAUAUCAGACAUCCCCUUUGACAUCUGAAAACAGAAUACCAUUAUGUUGUAGCACUUGUGCACUUCUUUUAACAAUAGCUGUCCUCCAGUCCAGCCACACACAUUUCUCCACAACUGCUUCCAUAUCAACACUUCUCCCCCUUUUUAGUCAAAAUUGACCAAAGGUGACCAAUCAGACAAAAUAAAUGUCAAUUAGUCUGUCAGAGAAUGUCAGGACAGAUGUUAUAACAUUAAACAUGUUAAAACAUAAUAUUCAUGCAGUACAAACCAUCAUUAUACACAGCUGAAAGCUGAGAUAAUGAACAAAUCCAAGGAACUCUUUAAGAGCCCUAAAUAUUACAAAACAGGCAUCAAUGAGAACUGCCACAAAAUAAAAAAAAACCAGAAAAAACAUCAGUCUUUUUAGGCCAGGUUCCACCAAACUUUCCAGCACUCCUCCUAGUCUUCAAUUCAGCCAGGGACCAUUAAUCUGAAGAAGAAGAAUCAUCUUCACCUUCACUUGUGUCUUCACCUGCACCUUCAGAAUCUUCUGAGCUUCCAGAACUUCCAUUGAUAUGGGAUUUUGAUCUUGUAUUUGAGUCCUUCCCAGCCUUUUCUGUAAAGGCAAAUUGUCAUACAACACACAAUCAUAGGUUUCGAUGAUGACAAAUGACCACCAUGGAUGAAUCGACAUUGUCGAUUCCACUCCUACAAAACAAAUGCAACAUAUCCUUUUCUAUGCUCAUCUAAAACUACUAUAUUUCAUACAACAUAUGUGGAUAAAAUGUGAUCAUGACAAAAUGCAUGAAAAUCACAAAAAUAUGAAUUUUCGCAGAUUUGCAGGGUUUGAGUCGACCACAAGGGUCAGCGCAUGAACCACGGGUCAGCGCAUAGCAUAAUGCAGUUGGUCACUGGUCAGCGCAUGGAGGCUUUGAGUCGACCACAAGUCGGCGCAUGGCAUAGUGCAGUUGGUCAUGGGUCAUCGCAUGGAAGACUCGAGUCGACCACAGGGUCAGCGCAUGAAACUUUCAUUUUCCCACAGGUCAGCGCACACAGACCUAUGGUCGACGCAUACUAAAGCAUUCUUCAACCUGUCCAAAAUUGCAGGCCAUGCAUCGACGCAUAGACCUGCUAUGGUCGACCGCUCGUGCGCAAAUUCAGUUUCUAAAUAUUUUCCACUCUGUUUGAAAAGCUGUUAUUUUUGGUUGGUAAGUUGGUUACUAUAUAUAGAAGUCUAGUUACUUGUAUCAACUAACAUUUGUCAAUUUGAUUCAAGUGUUCAAAGAAACAAGAAAAAGUGAAAUAGGUGUCCAAGAUUCAUCAUCUUCAUCUUCAACAUCUCACAACACAUCAACUACACACAACCAUUUUUGAAGUGCUUUGUGAUUGGUUAAAGGUGAUAAGGUUCGAAGCCGAGAUUGGGGAAUCCGGUUCGGGUUGAAGCUUGUGACAGGUUUUUUCUUGAAUAAAACCGUUAGGGUUUUGUCCUCCAAGACUGGUUUGUGUUUGGGGGUUUUUGGACGAAUUUCUUCAUCAAUUUUCAGCUGAGCGAAGGUGAUUGAGAAGAGGAAGUCUUCGUCAAUCUAGUAGCGGAUUCAGUGAUAUUGAAGGGAAGAAUUCGGGUUCGAUUUGUUGUAGUUGAGAUCAGNNNNNNNNNNNNNNNNNNNNNNNNNNNNNNNNNNNNNNNNNNNNNNNNNNNNNNNNNNNNNNNNNNNNNNNNNNNNNNNNNNNNNNNNNNNNNNNNNNNNNNNNNNNNNNNNNNNNNNNNNNNNNNNNNNNNNNNNNNNNNNNNNNNNNNNNNNNNNNNNNNNNNNNNNNNNNNNNNNNNNNNNNNNNNNNNNNNNNNNNNNNNNNNNNNNNNNNNNNNNNNNNNNNNNNNNNNNNNNNNNNNNNNNNNNNNNNNNNNNNNNNNNNNNNNNNNNNNNNNNNNNNNNNNNNNNNNNNNNNNNNNNNNNNNNNNNNNNNNNNNNNNNNNNNNNNNNNNNNNNNNNNNNNNNNNNNNNNNNNNNNNNNNNNNNNNNNNNNNNNNNNNNNNNNNNNNNNNNNNNNNNNNNNNNNNNNNNNNNNNNNNNNNNNNNNNNNNNNNNNNNNNNNNNNNNNNNNNNNNNNNNNNNNNNNNNNNNNNNNNNNNNNNNNNNNNNNNNNNNNNNNNNNNNNNNNNNNNNNNNNNNNNNNNNNNNNNNNNNNNNNNNNNNNNNNNNNNNNNNNNNNNNNNNNNNNNNNNNNNNNNNNNNNNNNNNNNNNNNNNNNNNNNNNNNNNNNNNNNNNNNNNNNNNNNNNNNNNNNNNNNNNNNNNNNNNNNNNNNNNNNNNNNNNNNNNNNNNNNNNNNNNNNNNNNNNNNNNNNNNNNNNNNNNNNNNNNNNNNNNNNNNNNNNNNNNNNNNNNNNNNNNNNNNNNNNNNNNNNNNNNNNNNNNNNNNNNNNNNNNNNNNNNNNNNNNNNNNNNNNNNNNNNNNNNNNNNNNNNNNNNNNNNNNNNNNNNNNNNNNNNNNNNNNNNNNNNNNNNNNNNNNNNNNNNNNNNNNNNNNNNNNNNNNNNNNNNNNNNNNNNNNNNNNNNNNNNNNNNNNNNNNNNNNNNNNNNNNNNNNNNNNNNNNNNNNNNNNNNNNNNNNNNNNNNNNNNNNNNNNNNNNNNNNNNNNNNNNNNNNNNNNNNNNNNNNNNNNNNNNNNNNNNNNNNNNNNNNNNNNNNNNNNNNNNNNNNNNNNNNNNNNNNNNNNNNNNNNNNNNNNNNNNNNNNNNNNNNNNNNNNNNNNNNNNNNNNNNNNNNNNNNNNNNNNNNNNNNNNNNNNNNNNNNNNNNNNNNNNNNNNNNNNNNNNNNNNNNNNNNNNNNNNNNNNNNNNNNNNNNNNNNNNNNNNNNNNNNNNNNNNNNNNNNNNNNNNNNNNNNNNNNNNNNNNNNNNNNNNNNNNNNNNNNNNNNNNNNNNNNNNNNNNNNNNNNNNNNNNNNNNNNNNNNNNNNNNNNNNNNNNNNNNNNNNNNNNNNNNNNNNNNNNNNNNNNNNNNNNNNNNNNNNNNNNNNNNNNNNNNNNNNNNNNNNNNNNNNNNNNNNNNNNNNNNNNNNNNNNNNNNNNNNNNNNNNNNNNNNNNNNNNNNNNNNNNNNNNNNNNNNNNNNNNNNNNNNNNNNNNNNNNNNNNNNNNNNNNNNNNNNNNNNNNNNNNNNNNNNNNNNNNNNNNNNNNNNNNNNNNNNNNNNNNNNNNNNNNNNNNNNNNNNNNNNNNGUAUAAGCACUUUUAUCAAACCUUGAUAUUAAUUGAGUAAGAAGUUAAAACUCUGUUUUUGAAUCCAAAGUACAAUAAGAUAUUGUACUAGACUAAUUGGAAUCACUUACUCAACAUAAAUAUCACUUGGAGUGUUUUUGCACACCAAGUGUUUGAUAAUUUGCCUAAACCAAAAUUAUCUUAGUUGUGUAUCUAGUUUGGUUUGCUCUUUGAAUCAUUGGAACUAGGAAUCCUAGCUAGUAAAACAAAUCAUUGAUAGUGUGACGAGUGUAGUGAUUCGUAUUCUACAUUAUCACUAAUCCAUAGGCUUGACACAUAUCCGGUUUUCCAAUAACGGUUCGUUUUAGACUAUAUUCUCCUCGGCCGCUUCCGCACUUAAAACAAAUUUUCAAAACCAAUUUUAAUUGGUAGCGCCGACUCAAUUUUUAAUUGGGAUCUAUUCAACCCCUCCCCCCCCCUUCUAGAUCCGUGCCAUAGUCUAACAAGUGGUAUCAGGAGCUCCGGUUCACUCCGUGCUUCAAAAUAUAACUUUGAUAGAAAAUGGCUAACGAACCUAAAGGGGCGUAUAAUAGAGCUCCCGUUUUCAAUGGUGAGAAUUAUAGUUAUUGGAAAGACUGUAUGCGGGUGCACAUAAAUUCCAUAGAUAGAAAAAUAUGGAACGUUAUUCUCAAUGGUCCAAUUGAAAUAACCAUGACCAAUGAGAAUAAUGAAUUAGUGCCUAAGCCCGAAGCACAAUGGACCGAUGAUGAUGAAAAGAAAUACAAUUAUGAUUGGAAAGCCAAAAAUAUCCUAAUCUCCUCAUUAGGUGUAGAUGAAUACUAUCGUGUAUCCCAUUGUCCUACUGCUAAGGCCAUGUGGGAUUCACUACAAAUUGCCCAUGAGGGGACGAACGAUGUUAAGUUGGCAAGAAUCAACACACUAACACAAGAGUUUGAUCUUUUUUUCAUGGAGCAAGGGGAAACCAUUGCUGACAUGCAAAAGAGAUUUACUCAUCUUAUCAAUCGAUUACAUUCACUAGGUAGGCCUAUUUCCAAUGAUGUUUCUACUAAUAAGAUCUUGAGAUGUCUUAACAGGGAAUGGCAGCCUAAAGUGACCGCCAUCAAAGAAGCAAAUGAUCUUACCAUAUUAGACUUGACAACAUUAUUUGGCAAACUACAAGAGCACGAAUAAGUACUCUUGAGCCUAGAACAACACGAAAAGAAAGAAAAGAAGGACAAAGCUAAGGUGAGUGAAAAGAAAUCAAUGGCUCUAAAGACUUCCUCCUCAAUGUCUCAAGCAAAAGAGCAAAGUGAUUAUUCCUCGAGCGACGAAGAAGAAGAGGACAAGAGCGAAGAUAUGGGGUUGUUCGUUAAACGUUAAAAUCGUUACGUGAGAAAGAACGGCAUCCAACAUUCUGAUAAGAACUUGGUAAACUUCCGGAAACAAUCUAGGUACUCUAAAAAUGAUGACUCAAAAGGUAAAAUGACUAGAGGGUCGUGAUAUACUUGUGGAAAGCCCGGUCAUUACAAACCGGACUGUCCGAUGAACAAGAAGACAAAGGAAAAGGAAUCAUACAAAUCACACAAGAAAUCAUCAAAGCCAAGGAGAGCAUACAUAGCCUGGGAAAGCGAUAGCGACUCCUCCGAUGAUGAAAGUUCUAGUGAUGAAGAUGAAGCUGCAAACCUAUGCCUCUCUGCUCAUCAAAAGAACAAAAAGAAACAGGUACGACAUGCUAAAUAUGAAAAAUCCUCUAGUAUGUCUCAUCAUGAAUUACAAGCUGCUUUUGAUACUUUACACUGUGAAGCUAAAGAGGCCUUUAAAAGGCUUGCCUCAAAUAACCAAAUUUUUAUCCAUUUGGAACAAAAAAUUCGAGAAUCCGAAAGGAAACUUGAGGCACUCAAAGCUUCUAUGGUAGAAAGCACAAAAGCAGGUUGUGAGGACCUUAGAAAUACAAUAAUUAACUAUGGGUGUGAUACUUGUUAUAUUUGGCAAGGUGAAGUAAGAAACCUAAAGGCCAAACUUGACAAGGCUCUUGAGCCCAAGAUUACCUUUGCUAUCGACAAAUCAAACUUUCGAAAAAGUAUGGUUAAUCCAUAUCAAAAAUAUAAAUAUGUUAUAAAGGAUGAAGAUAGCAAAGGCAAUCAAAAUGUAAAUUUCUCUUGUCUUUAUUGUUGCAAGAAAGGCCACUCCAUUGCUAAAUGCAGGUUUAGGAGAUUUUUAGUU